UCCGGAUCUUCUCUCUUAAGCUUCCUGAGGAAAAACGAAGGAGACCCCGCCACCCCGAUAAUCUCGAUGAAAUUCAAGUUGCCAGCGGGUCUUAACCUGAAUGGCUUCAAGACUGCAAUGGAUGAUGCCGGCGUUCUAACUGUUACCUUCACUAAACUCAAGCCAGAGAAGAAAAAGCUGGUGUCAGUAGCAAAGAAGAUGCUGGGAUGUUUGGCUCAUGCUGUGCCUGCUGCUUGUUUUCUGAUAUGUGAGAAGAUAUGUGAUGCGAUUUGUUCAGGAGACUAAUAAUAAGCUGGUCUCAAAUAGGUAUUUGCUUCGUGUUCAUGUAUGUUGCUUCUGUCGUUUAUCUGCUAGUGUCUGACAUAAAGUCUGGACUCUGUGAGUCUAGACCAUGUGUUCUCUAAUUACUGUUGCGGUAUCUAAAUGUGGAGUGAAAAAUAAAUGCUUUUUUUAAAUGUUUGUUUUGCUUUUUUUUUUUUUUUUUUUUUUUUAACGUAUGCAAUAAGAUAUCCCUACUAUAGAAUCUGCAAGAUAGCAAGAUCUCUCUUUUUUUCUUUUUCUUUUUUUAAAUUGUUAGCGUUGGAAAUUUUCUUUAAGUGAAAUAGAAGAUCUUGUCUAAUAAAAAUGAUGAUGUUUGUAUCUCCUUUUUUUUUCAGAGAAAUAGAAGAACUUUAUCUAAUAAAAAAUGAUAAUUAUUGAGUGAAAAAUAAAUGCUUUUUUUAAUAGUGUUGAAUGAAAAAGAAAUGUUUGUUUUCCUGUUUCCGGCCGCCUCCCACAUCACCCCUCACCGCCGAUCACUACCCAACCAGCCGGAAGCCCCUUUGCUAACCGUUACCGCCCCAAAACGUAAAUCCAAGUUCACGGCUUCCCCAUUAAAAUCUACCCGCCAUCUCCUCCACCACUGUUGGUGGUGUUUUACAGCCGCUUGAACCGUCCUCUGUCACCUCACAGCCACUGUCCCACAUGGUUCACCAAACCCCGUCGACCACGCAUCUCCCUUCAACGCGUGUCGGUCCAAAGCGACACAAUAAACCCUAGUUCGUUGCCAUUUUCCCGUGGCGCCACCGGCCUUCCUGCCAUUGCUGAACCUGAUGUGCUGCCUGCGGUUCACUCCACAUCAUCCCAACAGCCGCCGCUUAGCCUCCCACUGCUGCUUUUGGCCCUCUGACUCCGAAAGCCUCCUACAAUCCAAAUCCGACUCUUCACCAAACCCUAGCCCGCUUUCUCUUGGCCCAACACAGACCCUAGCGGCUGCCCUCUUUCUUUGGCCGCUCACUCCUUCACCGGUGAUGGUGGCUGCCCUCCUUUGUUUCCUUCACAGCCUCCGCACAGCCAACAAACAUCCACCUCCCAACUUGGCGGCCAUGAUUCACGCUUCCUGCCUUCAACUAGACUGCAACAGCGGAGAAGGUGAUAACUGGUAUAAGAAUAUGAAUCUCUUUUGCUUAUUUGGUUUUAUUUUGCACAUAAAAGUUUAUAUUUUAUGAUUGAUAAUUUAUAUCAAAUUAAAAAAAAUAAAAUCUGUGACACAACCUUUAUAUCCCUAUAUAUGGAUAUGUAAAUAUGAAUUAGGAAAUUUUGUUCUUUUCAGUUUGAAAUAUCAGACAAAUUUCAAUCAUAAGCUUCAAGCUUUAUUAUCCAUAUAUAAUUAAUGUAAUUGGUCUAUGCAGAUAUUUACUUAUUUAGGAAGUAAUGGAGUUUAUCCUGAGGAGUUUGCUUUUUGAAUUACUCUUAUUUAUUAAUUCUCUUGCUUUUAUGGCAAGAAUUAUUAGAUUGGAGUCAUUGAUGAGAGUAUAUGCUUAAUGCGCCCUAAGUACCUGCAUAUUCCGCCACCAAAAUAGGACUCGGCUAGAGUUAUCCAGGCUUGUGAAACUUGAAUUUUGUGUUUCAAAGUUUAGUGCUGAGUUAGCCAACCACGCCCAUGUAAAUAUUAUUCAUUACUACUAUUAUCAUUAUUGCAUGUAAAUUUUGCACCACCGUAUUAUGACUACAAUUCCUGCAAUGUAAUUAGCUUGAUUAUACAUGCCGCAUAAAUAUUGAAAUGGAGUUAGGUGUGAGCAAGCAUCUUAUCAAGGCACAAAUGAACUUAAAUUCAAAUAUGGCAUUAACAUUGUGACAUGGUGUUUGGAUACAAGCUUACCCUUCGUUCUAGAUCUCUUUUGUUAAUUUUUUUUUUUCCAUUGUAACGAAAAUGAUAUUUCCGAUUUUUUUUUACUUGACUACGAACGUAAUUAUAGUUGCUAUGGCCUUGUAGGCACGGUUGGCAGAUUUGGUAGUUUUUAAGCCAACAAAAAAAAAUCAAAAUUACAUAAAUUAGAUAAUUAACUCAAAUUAUUAACGGCAAUAUUGUCAUAACACCUGCAUAAUAUUUCAUUUUCAUGGAUGUCUAAGGUUUGUAAAAUAACUUACAUUGAUGAGGGUCAAUAAGAACUUUUUCUUGUAAAAUAACUUAAAAAACUUAAACUAUGAGUGUAUCGGAUAGGAAAAUUCUAUGAUCCCGUAAUGAUAAUUACGGCAUCAAUACAGUGAUAAACAUAAACAUUGUAAAUUACACACAAAACUUGUAAAUGUAAAGUAAAACCAGUAAAUUCAUACAAGAUUAUUAAUUAUUGAAAAAAUUAACAUCGUUUCUAUAGAGUUUUAGUGAAAACUAUUUUAUUCAUUUACAAAAAAUAUUUUCUUUAAUAAAAAAACUCAUUAAUUAAACAAAAAAUUAUACUGAAAAAAGUGGAAUAUGUUUUAUUGAAUUUGUUUAACCAUUAAUUCUAUAUUUAUUCUAGGACAUUUGUAUACUUUUUUCCUCCCAUUUUCUAUAAUAAUAUCUAUUUAUUACAUAAGUGAAUCAAGCACAAUUAUUUAUCAUGAUAUGGAUCAAGCAAAAACAAACAAAAAAAAUUCUUAUAAUACUAGACAUAUGUACAAUAUAUCAAUGAAAUUAUAUAUAAUUUUGAGCCUUAUACAUAUAGGAUUGUUCUUGAGGAAGCGUAGAAAGAUACAAAAUAACCUCAUUUUACAACAACUAUGAAAGAUAUUGAAAUAAUUUUUUUUUUAAAAUCCGAUUUUGAGAAUAAAUUUCAUCCUUAAUAAAAUAUCACAUGUAUUACAUAAAUGCAAAACUAGCAUUAUUCAAUUUAAAUUAAAAAAUAUAAGGUAAUAAACAUUGUAAUGAGUUUUUAUUUUACAAUUGUGAAAUGUUUUUGUAAUAACUCUUAUAUCAAUUUAUUUAUUUUACCUUUUAUUCAUAAGUUUUAGACGUAAUCUAUAAAAUUUAUGUUUUAUUUUGCACUUAAUGUUGAUUUACUUGUUUUAUGUUAUAUUUGUAAAUUUUCGUUUAAUUUAUCAAUAAUACAUUAAAUUACCAGCUUUAUAGUAAUUUACUUGUUUUACCUUCUUUUUACAAGUCUUUUGUUUUAUUUCUAAAAUUUAUAUUUUAUUUCUUAGUUAGUGUUGAUUUACUAGUUUUAUGUUCUAUUUACAAGUUUUUGUUUUGUUUAGCAUUAAUACAUUAAUUUACUAGUUUUAUAUUAAUUUAUUUGUUUUACCUUCCAUUUACAGGUUUUAUGUUCCAUUUUCAAAAUUUAUGUUUUAUUUUGCGCUUAAUGUUGAUUUACUAGUUUUAUGUUAUAUUUAUGACUUUUUGUUUUAUUUACUAGUAGUUCAUCAAUUUAUCAGUUUUGUAGUAAUUUACUUAUUUUACCUUUCCUUUACAAGUCUUUUGUGUCAUUUUCAAAAUUUAUGUUUUAUUUUACAGUAAAUGUUUGAUUUACUAGUUUUAAGUUAUAUUUGCAAGUUUUUGUUUUGUUUUCUAGUAGUACAUCAAUUUACUAGUUUUAUAUUAAUUUACUUAUUUUAUCUUUUAUUUACAAAGUUAUAUUUAAUUUUUAAAAAUUAUGUUUUAUUUUACACUUAAUGUUGAUUUAUGCAUUUUAUGUUAUAUUUGCAAGUUUUUGUUUUAUUUACUAAUAAUACAUGAAUUUAUCGGUUUUGCAUUAAUUUACUCAGUUUAUCUUUCAUUUACAAGUCUUAUGUUUAAUUUCUAAAAUUUAUGAUUUAUUUUACAGUUAAUGUUAAUUUACAAGUUUUAUGUUUUGUUUACAUAAUUUAUAUUCAAUUACGGUAUUGAUACCGUAACUUUAUUCACGGCAUCAUAGAAUGACCCAAAGUAUAAGGAAAAUAUUUUUAAAUUUAAAGGGUUUAUAACCCAUAUUAAUUGGGAUUCAAAUUGAGACUUAGAUGAUGGGAUACCUCAUAUUGCUCAUUUAUACUUACACAUCCUUUAUAUGGCUAUUGCGUAUACAAAAUAAUGCAAAGAGAGAGAGAGAGAGAGAGAGAGAGAGAGAGAGAGAGAGAGAGAGAGAAGGAAUACAAAUAAUAUCUAAGUUACAAAAAGUCAAAAAUAAUAAUAAAACUAUGGUAAUAUAUCCACGAUGAAGAGCCCAAAAAAAAAAAGAUAAGAUAAUUAAAGCAUUAAAAUAUGUUCUUAACAAAGUGGGGAAAAUACUAUGUGAAAGGAAAAAAAAAACAUAUGUAUAUGUUACACGAAAGACAAAAAACUAUAAUUUUGUGUAAUUUAUUUAUUAUUAACUUACAAAUUCAUUGAAACUCAAAAUCAAGAUUUGAGAUCACCGAAAGACUCUUUAAAUGAGAUUUUAUGUCUCAUUUGAAGAGUCACAUAAUAAAUGAGAUUCUUCAAAUAAGAUUGUCAUUCUCUCUCUUCAAUAUUAAAGAGAAAGAAGCACUAUCUAAUUUGAAGAAUGUUAAUUCAAAGUGUUUUAGAGCCUCUAAUUUAGUAUUAAAUUAGUUUUUAUCUUAUUAUUGUUGAAGAGAGAGAAGUGCUAUAAUUGCCACUAUUUUAGUAGAGUAAAAAGUUUGAUUAAAACAAAAUAAAUUUAUUUUGAUUUAAAAAAUUUUGUUGUAGAGGUCAUAUUUUUUCACUCUUCUAUUUGUCAAAUAGGUAAAUAAAUAAAUAUUUGAAGAGUAAAUUAAAAAUUUAUUUUGGUGAUGCUUUAAGAAGACGACUCUUUAGAUGGAAUUAAUUAGUCCUCGGCUUAAAAAAAAAAAAAAAAGACUAAAGUUUAUGCUUGUCCAAAAAUACAAAAUUGUCGAUCUAGUAACCUUCAAUAUUUUUGGACGGUUUGAAUUGAACAUAAGCUUCCAGAGAUUUCUUCCCAACAAGUGGAUAUGUGUGCUCGCGCAGUCGCACUACUUAAUAUGAGUAUGACCCCCCACCUACCGGCUGCUAGUUUUCUCCAUGCCACAUCAUAUUACACGCAUUGAGUUUGCAAUUUUGAGGUUUAAUUUAGCCGAAAAAAUGGUAGCUUGAUAUGAUUUGCGCCUAAUUCCUUGUCUAAAUUAUUUUAAUUACCUAAUUAAUAGUCGCUUGAUAUGAUUCAAGUGGGAAUAUAGGCACUCUUUCGAUGAUGUGACUAAGAUGACAUAGCCCGGGCAACGUCAUUCGGAUUUGCAUAUGGUUAUGGUGGGGCAAAGCCUUUUUGACAAUCUGCGUCCAGAAAAGAAACUAGAUGCCGAAAGAAAUAAUACAUGUGGUACCCCAUUAAUAAUUAAUAUAAUCCAUGUUCGUUGAAAACGUCAGGUCACACGUCACAACUUUUUGUUUUCAGAUCGGUUGGCAAAAUCCGGAUGUAGGCGCAUUCGGAUCCGUAUUUAUAUUUUUGUACUCGUAUAUGCAUUUGGAUUUGUAAAAUAAGAUGUAAAUCCGGAUAUAGGUAAUAUCCGCAACGGAUGCGAGUGGAUAUUUCGAAUAUCCGGAUUCGUAAAAAUUAAAAUUUAAUAAUUUAAUAUAUAAUUUAAAAAUUCAAUAAUUUACUUAAUAAUAUCAAAUCAAAUCAAUCAUAAUUUAACAAUUAAUAACUCAAAGUGAAUAACAUACAAUAAUCUUAUAAAUCUACAAAUAAAAGUUUAUUUUCAAUAUAUAUUUUUAAUUUAAUUUUUAUUUUAAAAUAAAAUUCAAUAAUUUACCUAAUAAUAUCAAAUAAAAUCCAAUCAUAAUUCAACAAUUAAUAAUUCAACAUGAAUAACAUACAAUAAUCUUAUAAAUCUACAAAUAAAAGUUAAUUUUUAAUUUAAUUUUCAAUAUAUAUUUUUAAUUUAAUUUAAUUUCAUUUUAAAAUAAAAUUCAAUAAUUUACCUAAUAAUAUCAAAUAAAAUUAAAUCAUAAUCCAACAAUUAAUAAUUCAACAUGAAUAAUAUAACAACAUCAUAAAUCCAUAAAUAAAUUUUAUUUUUAUUUUUCAUUUAAUUUUUAAUAUAUAUUUUUAAUUUAAAAUAAAAUUUAUCCCCAUCUGGAUCCGUACGGUUCCCAAAUUUUCAUAUUUAGAUUUGCAUUUUUUAAUAUACGGAUCUGGAUUUUUCCAAAUCUAGAUCUUCCGGAUCCUUACAAAUCUGAGCUGGAUCCGAAUUUAAUUGUCAUCCCCAUAUCAUAUUUUGGCUAGGUCAUAUUUUGGCGAUUGCGGUUCGAUGUUCUUGCUUAACUUUUUAAGGAUUUUAUUAGACCUAUCUACAUUAGUUAUUAAUGGCUAAAUUUGUUAUCCUUGUAUUUGUUUUUUAUUGAAUUUUAUUAAUGUAAUUUAAUUAUUUUUUUUAAUUUUCUAAGGGUUAAAUUGGUAAUUUAAUUAUUUUCUUUUUAUUAAUGUCCAAACAAAAAAAUUAUUAUAAAAGGGUAAUAUUGUAAAAGUAAGCCAAAAGAAAUAAAAAGUAACGGUAGGGGUAUCAAUAUUUUAACAGCAAGAAUGUUUCGAGACAUUUUUAAAAAUAUAGGGAUUAAAUGGAUACUAAUCUUAAAAUACAGGGACUAAAUGAAUUUUUACCCUAUUUUUUCGUUGAUUAAAAUGCCUAUAACAAAGAUUAAUUCAGAAAAUUUAAUUGAUUUAUCCUACAAACUGAGACUGGGCAUGGAGUUUGAUUAAGAAGAAGUAGCAUAUGAAUUCUAUAAUAAGCAUACUGAUGAGAUUAAGGAUAAAACUAUCACAAGCACAUGGGAUGAGGUAUAUUCAGAUCCUAUUCAAGUUCCCGUCGGACCCGUUACAAGAGCUCGAGCAAAGAAAUUCAAAUAAGCGCUUAAUGGAUUGAUUCAAGCAACUUGGGCUCAAUCAAAUUCGUGGAGACCCAUUGAAGGAAUCACACAUGAUAAAUGCAUGAUUCAGGCUCUUGAAGUUUUCAAAUAAUCACUUCCAUGAAAUAGGGAGUUGGCUUAAACAUUAUGGCGGGAAAAUAUAUUAUUUUCCUUUUUCAGAUACUUUCCCGUUUCUUGAGGAAACUAUUAGGGAAUCAAAUUAGUUAUUUCUAUUUUAAUCGCCCAGUUUUCAUUUAAUUGAUGUAAGGCAUUUGAGACAAUUAGGAUCCUGAUUUAGUUUAAAUUCUUUCCUAUUUACUUAGAUUAGGAUUCUGAUUUGAUUUAGAUUUUUUCCUAUUAGGGAAGAUUUAGAUUUAGAUUUGAUUUUUUGGUUAGGAUUUAUUUCCAAAAAUUCUUGUAACCAACCCUAUAUAAAGUACUCAUAUUCAAUAAAUAGAGAAGAAGUUUUUUAUGCAAUUGGUGAGAGAGUUAAUUCUCUUUGGUUCUUUACGAACUCUUUGAACUAAUCGGAUUUAUGUGGCGUUCAAAUUCUUGACUUAUCAAUCAGACCAUCCAUAAUUGAUUGUGGCGUCUUCACAUACCAAGGUUCGUGCUUUCAAUAAGCAUUGGGUUGAGGUUCCAUUCCAUUUCUGAUUUAGAUUCGAUAUUGGGAACUAAAUUGAUUAGGAUCGCGUCAGUUCUUGACAGGGUUCGUAUCACAUACCUUAAGUAUGGGUUUUAGUAUUAGAAAAGAUACUCAUGCUAAUAAUAAGUGUACUAGUGAAAUUACAUCCAAAGUAUGUGUUUGUUGCAAACAAGGUUAUCGAUUGAAAGCCAAACAGAUCUUCCAAAAGUAAAGUAUAGAGCAAAUACAAGAGCCAUGUAUCAUGCUGGAUUAUUUAUCAAGCAAAAAGGAAGAAGAAUAAUUGGUUCGUUAAUCAUUUUAUUGAGUCUCAUAACCAUUCGCUUCUAAUGCAAGAGUGUGCCCACAUGCUACUUUCUCAAAGACAAAUAACUGUUUCGCUAGCAAUUGAAGUAGACUUGGCAGAAGAAUUCGGGAUUUCACUUAAAUCUGCAUAUAGUUAAUGGGCAAACAAGUGGGAGGGCGAGAACCUCUUGGAUACACAAAAUUAGAUCAAAAUAACUAUCUUAGAUCAAAGAAAUAGAAAGAUUUAGCUUACGGAGAAGCAGGGUAUUUAUUAAAAUAUUUUUCUGAUGAAACUUUAAAAAAUCCAUCAUUUUUAUACUCUAUGCAACUAGACAAUGAGGAACAUGUCACAAAUAUAUUUUGGGCAGAUUCUAAAAGUAUUAUUGAUUGUGGCCAAUUUGGAGGUGUUUUAAGUUUUAAUACAACUUACAAAGUAAAUAAAGAAAAUCGACCAUUUGCAACUUUUGUUAGAUUUAAUCAUCAUCGAGUGACAGUUAUAUUUGGGGCAGCUUUGAUGUAUGAUAAAACUAAUAAUUUAUUUAUAUGGUUGUUCAAUUUGAAGGCAAUGUCUGCGAAAUCACCAUAAAUGAUCUUUACAUAUUAGGAUGCUGCAAUGGCUUAAGCUAUUUCUCAUGUAAUGCCUAAUACUACAUGGCAUAUGAUGCCAAAUGUCUUAAAACGUGUAAAUAAUGUUUUUAAAGGUCCUAAAGGGAUAAAAAGUGCAUUAUCUACUUUCAUGGAGUCCAUUGAAGAGAAAGUUUAGUUUAGUUUUCGAGUGCUUGGAAAGCAAUGCUUGAGGAAUAUGAUGUGUAUGAUAAUAAUUUGUUGAAAAUUGUAUUUGAGUUAAAGGGAGAAAUGGGCUUAUGCAUAUAAGGCAAGCAUGGUUAGCUAGAAUCAAUAGUAACCAACUUAGUGAGAGUUUUAAUACUAUAACAUAAAAGAUUACUGUUGUGCAAAUUUUAUUGAACUCGCAAGUGCACGAAUCUAUUGUAGAAUAGAUUAAUGGUGACAAGUGUCGAUCCCACGGGGAGGUGGAUUUUAAUUAUAUGUAGAAUUAAUUUUGUAUGAGGGUGGUUGGAUUUGUGGUGAAAAUGAUUUGGAUUAUCCUAAAAUUGGAAUUGAAAUGGCGAGAAUAAUUUGAAGAGAAUUCUAUUGAAAUGACGUACUUGUGUAUCUGGAUCCGUAUCAACAUGCAUCAUGGGCUAAAUAUUCCUUAUUAAUACCAAUUAAAUCAUGAGGGGGGAAUCCACACCUCAUGAACCACACUCUAAUCAAUAUGGUGCUAAGAGCUUAUCGUGCCAAAUAAUAAUAACCUUGUACUAGAGAGCUGGUGAAACCAAGGCGGUAUCUAGACAAGAUUAUUAUUAUUUGUCGACGAGAAGUCAAAACAUCCAAAAAAAUUAGAGGGAAAGAGAAAAGAAAUUUACCAAAUAAAGCCCAUGACACAUGUUGAGACUUCACCUUCAACCCAAGCUUGAAAGAAAAUUAGCUACUCAUAAUUGAACUAGGGGCAAAAUGAAAAUUUAUUAAAAUACAUAGAAAAUACAAGAUGGAGAAGGAAUUACAGAAAAUGGAGUCCAAAAAUGGAUUCAGAGAUAUCAAAUUAGGUGGGGAGGCCCCCUUUUUAUAGAUACAUUGAGUAAAUCAUGGUCAUCGGAUUAAAAACAGUUUGGAUGCUCAGGAUUGCGCCACGUCAUCAGUCAACAGUACGCGGUUUAACCACGCGGGGUGAACAGUAACACGGUUUGACCCGGCUUUGAACAGUAACGUGGUUUGGUUGAAAAUAAUCUUGUGUAAUGCAUGUACUGUACGCGCAAGUUUUGGUCCACUAAUAUAUUGCCAUGUCACCAUCAACAGUUCAUAAGAAUUUUAGACCAACAGGAUCAUGACACCUCAUCAGUCAAUGCCACAUCAUCGGUCAAUGCCACAUCAUCGGUCAAUGCCACAUCAUCGGUCAAUGCCACGUCAUCGAUCCGUCUAUGUGAACAGUGUCGUGAACAGUAACGUAGACAGUACCGUACAUGUGAACAGUGCCAUUUUUCUUUUUAUGCUCCUCCUAAGGUUUUCGACUGUCAUGAGUUCAAAAGUGAUGUCUGUUUUGCCGUUUGAUCUCUCGUUUAUUGUGAAAUGACUAUGAUGCCCCUAAAAUACACAAAAUACUUAAUUAAAAUAAAACACACAUAAUUAAAUUACAAGAACCUUAAAUACAUAAAAGUAAGGGUUGUUAGUAAGACUUAAAAUGUAAAAUGACAAUUUUCUCCUUUAUAAAUAUACAUUUUCUAACACUCAACAAUUACCUCAAGUGAGACCUCAAUGUAGCAUAAUUUCUUAUGCAUUUCGAGAGGGUAAUUAAUGAUAAAAAGUACAAGAAGUUGGAAGUAGAGUACAAUUUAUGCUAUAGGCUAGUUUUAUUUUGGGAAAUUAUCACUAGUAUACCCUUAAAUGUCACCGGUAUCAAACGUGCUACAACAUUUUUCACUUAUAUCACUCGUAUACCCUAAGUUGAUAAAAGAGUUCUAGCGUCCACCUUUCCGUUUACUACCGUUAAGACAUGCUGACGUCAUAGGGGUAAUAUAGUCUUUUAAUAAAGAAGAGGCUGCAAAGGAAGACGGCGUCGUUUUAAUACCCCGAAAACGCUGCCGUUUCACUGUAAUUGAAAAUUAAAAAAAAUCCGACAUCGUUUUUUUAUUUUGGUUAAAAAAAAAGUUACGGAGAAACGACAUCGUUUCACUGUAACUCAAAGACAAAAAGAGAGAAGUGGUCCAUCCUCCCCAUUCUUUAUUCACAGCGAGAGAAGUUUGCAUGCAUAUGAACAACCGAUGCAAGACUGUAUGCAUGCCUGCCAUCUUUUUACUAAAAACCCUCAAUAUUUGACCAUUAAACAAGUUUAAGUGAUAGUUGUGGAGAUUGAUUUGGACCUUGAUAGAAGAGUAAGCUGAUUUCGAUCGAAUCCAGCGAGCGAAGCAUCGAGUUGUUAGGUAUGUUCAUAUGUAAUUUUUUUUUCAUGCAAUAUAUCUCUUAUCUCUUAUUUAGUCAAUAGAUGUAAGAAAUAAUUUGAAAUUAUCCGAAUUUAUGAGAAUUUAAUUUUUGUUACAAACCCUAGAAUGUAGAAAACGAAGAAAUAAGCAGUGGUUAUUUUUUGGGUUAUUUAUGUUCUUAUGUAAUCAAUGUUUUAGGUUUAUAGAAGUGCAUUUAGAUGGUAAAUGAUAUCGGUUCUGGUUUUUGCAUAUUGAGGGUCUGUUUGCUGUUACAUGUAUUUCGUUAAAACUAAUUGAGGCUUUUUUCAACUUGCGGAUUGUUAAGUAUUGUAUGAUAUUUAUUUCCUACGCUGUGUUUGAAAAGCUUAAAUGAUCCAUAUUUAAGCACAUUGUGUUAUUUUUGGGAUUACAGUAGGACAUGUCAACAAUGGAGCUAGUGAUUUCUUUCAAAGGAGAAAAACAUCAUGUCGGUAUGAUUAACCCUGAAGAUUGGACUGUUGAUAGAAUAAAGGUUGAGGCAUUGAAGAUAACUAUUGUACAUGGGUUAGAUACAAUUGGUAAAAUCUUAUUGACUGUUAUGAACCCAGAUUGUAAAGUCAAGGUUGUUUUAGAUUCUGAAUUUUGGAUGAAAUGCUUAUUUGGGUUUCAUAAUUUAAUGGGUGUUACUACAUUUGAAGUUGAAGUUGUGCCUGUUUUAUGCCCUCAAAAUCCAGAUGCUCCGUUAAUACAAUCAUUGCUGUUUAACUUAGGAGUACACCUGUCUUCAGAAGUUAUAGAUAUCUUGAAUGAUCAAGCUACACCAGAAGUUAGCCAUACAGUUCAAGAAGAGGGGAGUAACACAGAUGAAUUCGAUGAUAUGCAAAGGGGUUAUGGACACGAAGCUACUGCAACUAUUCAUGAGGGUGAAAUUGAUGAAGACAAACUAUUAUCAGAUUGGUCAGACAAAAGAAGUGACAGUGAUGGUGAGGAACCUGUUGUGCAACCAAUACCUACUAUGUCUGUUGAUGAUAUUGUGUCUGUUGAGGACAUUGAUGAUAGUGAGGGCAAUGAGGACAGCCAAUGCGAGAGUGAUAGCGAUGGAGAUGGAGAUGGAGAUGGUUUACUAGAUGAUGACACUAGGGCAGUCGAAAUGGUUGUGAACUCUUCUGAUGAUGACAUCAAUGUUGGCAGUGUGAAGUUUACAAAAUAUUUAGAGAAACAUGAGUAUAAAUUAGAUGCUGAUAGGAUACAUAGGCUGAGAUUAGGUGAUGUGUUUAGGGAUGUGAAUCACUUUAGACAAGUGUUACAUGAGGUUAUGAUUAGGAAAGGGUUUAACAUUAGCAUAAAAUAUAGUGAACCGCGGAGAUAUUAUGCAACUUGUAAGGAGGUUGGCUGUCCAUGGUUUGUUUAAGGUGCAAGACUGAAUGAUAGGAAUGGUUUUUAGCCGCGGGGAUAUCAGAAGAAGCAUGAGUGCAAGCUUACCAAGAAAUAUGUGAAAGUUACUUCAACAUGGAUUGCUGAAAUGAUAAAGGGAUAUAUUGUUAUUGAUGCAAAUGUCAAGAUAUCUCUUCUCAAGAAUUAUAUGCAAGAAAAAUUCAGGUUGAAAAUUGAGAAGCUCACAAUAUAUAUCGCUAGAGAAAAAGUAAGGAUUCUAGUAUAUGGUGACCAUUCGAAGGGCUAUGAGAAGAUGUUUUAGUACGCUGCAGCUAUUCAUCGGGCUGAGCCAGGAGCCGUUUGCAAAGUGUUAUGUGAUGCAGUCACUGUUCCUGAUAAAUGUCUAUUUCAAAGAUUUUUUAUUGCAUUUCCAGCACAAAGAAAUGCUUUUCUGAAUGGCUGCAGACCGUGCAUUGGAAUCGUUGGGUGUCACCUAAAGGGAAAAUAUGGUGGAGUUUUGUUGGCUGUUGUUGCUUCAGAUGCUAAUAAAGGGAUUGUCCCAUUAGCAUUGUGUGUAUGCGAUAUUGAGAACACAGAAACAUGGACUUGGUUUCUUGAUCAUUUGCAUAGUUACUUAGAUGAUGGAAGACGGGUAACAUUUAUUAGUGAUAGGCAAAAGGGGCUGUUGAAUGCAAUUCCGAACACAUGGCCUACUGCCUAUCAUAGGGCAUGUUGUAGGCAUGUGUAUGUUAAUUUUGCGAAAGAACAUGCUGGUGCCAACUUGCGGACUCUUUUUUGGAAGACAGCAAAAAGUAGUAACAAGCAUGAUUAUGAGGAGGCAAUGGCACAUAUCAAAGAGGAAAAGUUAGCAGCAUAUAAUUUGUUGGAAAGAGAGCUGCAGGGAUACACUUGGUCUAUGCAUACAUACGACAGAAACUACAAGGUAGAAAGGACUUACAACAAUGCCUCCGAGUGCUUCAACAGUUGGAUUCUGCCUUAUAGAGAUAGGCUUGCUUUGUCAAUGCUUGAGGAAAUUAGAUGCAGACUGAUGAAAAGAUUUACAAAAAGAAGAAAUGAGGGAAAUACUUGGCAAAAAACUAUUGCUCCUAGGAUUUACAAAGAGUUGGAUCAAACUUUCAAGAAAGGAGAAAAAAUGAUUGUGCAAUCCUCGAGAGACUUGAAUUUUCAAGUCAUGGAUAAAUCUUAUUAUCCAGCUAGGAGGUUAUAGUGAAAUUAGAGGACAAGACGUGCGAUUGUAGGUAUUGGGAAAUUGCCGGCUUACCUUGCUCUCAUGUUAUGGCUGCCAUAGGUUAUGCAAGACAUGAAAUUAAGGAGUAUAUUCCAUUUUGCUUUACCAAGCAGGCCUACAUUAAUACAUAUUCAGUUAUGUUUAAUCCAAUUCCCGAUGAGCGGACAUGGGAGCGUGGUGAUAGGCCCCUAAUUGAUCCCCCAAUUGUGCGGAAAAAGAUUGGAAGGCUAAAGAAAUGCAGGAAGAGAGCAGCCACUGAACCUCAAAAACGCAGCAGGAGAUUCUUUGUCAAUUGCUCGGUUUGUGGUGGCUCAAACCACAAUGUAAGAUCUUGUCCAUUGAGACUAUCGGUUGCAAGGGCAACCAAAGCUACAAGCACUAAUUCUCAUUUAUCUAUUUAGUCCAUCAGUUUUAUUCAUUUAUGUUUAUUGUUUAUAUUGUCAUCUAACACAGAAGUUACAUUUUUUCAGCUGUCAAUUGGAAAUUCUUCAGGCCAAUCAGCAGAUCCUUUAAGCCAGCCAUCAAAGCAAACCAGAACGAGAAAUACAACGAGGAGAGACCAUGUACCAAGUGAUCAAAGUAAAAGCUCCAGUGUUGGAUCGAUGAAAAGAAAAAGCGCAAAUGCUGUUGGAGUUGCUGGAACAAGCAAAAAAAGAGGUUGAAUUUCGUUUCUUUUUGUUCAUAUUUCAUAAUUGCAUAUAAGGAGCUUAAUUUAUUUUCUUUUCUGUAAUAUAGGAAAGACUUCACAUGUCAACUUAUCCCAAGUCAGCCAAUCACAGAAUCCAUCACAAGCGUCCACUGUCACAAGUGCUUUGUAAUGAGUCCACUGUCACAGGUGCUUUGUAAUGAGUUUGAUGCUCAUUUUGCAAUGUUUUGUUGGAAAUAAUCUAUCAACUUCAAUUUCCUUAACUAUUAUGCUAGUUAUGUGAUUUCAACUGAACUUAAUUAUGCUCUUGCAUGAGCUAAGCUAUUGAAAUGGUUUUUGGAAUAUGUAUUUGAAGGCGAUAUGUUGCUAUCUGCAUAUUUUGGAUAUGUUAUGAUUAGAUUAAUGAUGUUUUAGUUGAUAAUUAUGACUGUUGAAUAUUUCUUGAAUACAAACUUUGUGUGUUACAUUACUUUCUCAUAAGGACAAUUACAAAGACACACACUAGCACAAUUAGGAUCCAUUUAAGCUUUCCUUCGAUGCUUUUUAGCCUUGUCUUUAUCUUAACCAAAUCAUCAUUCAGCUUCAAGUUUUGCCCUGCCAUCACGCCAUUAGCACUAUAAUAUAUAAGAGAUUUCACAGUGAACCAUUCCCAAAAUCCACAAUGCCUCGCUCCACAAUGCUUCCACCUGCAUGACCAAAACAUUGCAUUAGGGUUUUGCAAUGUAGUUGACACCAUAGCCACUGCUUGCACGCCACACUUACAGUAUUUUGGUUGACAUUUUACUUUAUCAUAUCUGGUAUGUCCACUGUCAGCAGAACUUGAUGCUUCACUGGAGGCCAUUUUCAUAUGAAUUGCUUGGUAUGUGAUUGCUUGGUAUGUGAUGGAUCAAUGAUUUGUUAAUGUGCUUUUGGUUUUCAGUUGGAAAAGAGUAGCAAAUUGAUUGAAUUUAAAGAGAUUAUCAGAUGUGUGGUGGCUGAUUUCUUGUUGGAAAUUGGUUGAAUGUUGUAAGCUAUUUUUGUUGUGUUUUAGGUCAUUAUAUAGUUGAAAAUGUAACCGUUAUUGGCUCCCAACGGUUACAUUUUCAAUUGCUUCACUUUCAGGAUAAAUUUGUCUUUUUAAGUUUAUUUGAGUUUAAAGGGUAAAAUAAUCAUUUUGCUCAAAUUCUGUUAAGUUCUUAACGGUAGUAAACGGAAAGGUGGACGCCAAAACUCUUUUGUCAACUUACGGUAUACGAGUAAUAUAAGUGAAAAAUAUUGUAGCACGUUUGAUACCGGUGACAUUUAAGGGUAUACCAGUGAUAAUUUCCCUUUUAUUUUUAAAGAUUAACCGAAGAAAAUUAUUAUGAGUAAUGCAUUUGUUGUUGCAGUGUGGUAUUCAAGAUAAGUUUCAGCACUUAUUUCACUUUAUGCUUUUUAUAUUUUAAUUGAUGAGUUAAUUGAUUUAAAGUUUUGUUUGCUUGAGUUCAUAUGUUAUAUAGAUUGACGGAUGCAAAAUUUUAUGUAGUUUUUUAAACUUCAUUAGCCAAGACAUUUAUUUCAGAGUGGAAGACAUUCUUACAUUUGAUGCAUCCAUGAAAUUUCACAUUUUGUUGUUUUCAACGAGCACAACUCAGCUCAAUUGAAAGCUAUCUCAGAAACAGAACAAACUUUAUACAGAAAUUGAACUUCAGAUGCUAAUAAACAUCUAAAAUAGUUUUGUUACUAGAUUAUAAUCGAAGACAAUAAAAAAUAUUGCAUUUUCCCUUCAUAAUAAUAAUAAUAAUAAUAAUAAUAAUAAUAAUAAUAAUAAUAAGUAUUACGUAAAAUAAGAAGGGUAAGAAUGACAUGAUAAACGUGGCAUCUGCAUAACAUCCCUAACAAGCCAAACAUGGCAUGUAUUCUAUAAAAUCUUGUUCUUUUUCCUUUUUUCUUCUGCCCUUCUUCUAUUUUAGCUUCCAUGUAUUGGGAAUUGGUUGUUAUUGAUUUGGUGAAAAUGGAAUUUUGCAUUAUUUGGAUCCUAAAAGGGGCAAUCAGGAUCCUGAUUCAUUUUUCAGAUUUCUUCAAAAAGAAUAUUUCGGUUAAAGAGUGCAGAGUAGGGCACCAUUAAAGCAUUUUGCAGAUUUCUUUUUUCUUUUUGGGAUCCCACAUCGACUAGGUGGCCAAUUCACUCCUUUUUUUCUUCACCUCCAAAAUACAUUGGUGUUAAAGGGAUGUGCUCUAUUGCUGACCUUUUAUUGGCCCAGGUAACAAAUCUUUUUUCCUUUUUUUUUCCCCUUUUAUGUUCUUUUGUUGUUGAUUCUAUCACGCUUCUUUGAUUAAAACAUGGGGAAGUUAUCUAAUUAAGUCACAAUGGUAAGAAUCUGCAGUAUUGUUUUGAAGUUUGCUAGUGUUGAAACUUGGCUCCCAAAAUCAUUAUAGUUUUGGGUUUGGACUAGAGAAGGAAGAUAAGAGUAUAUCAAACUAAAACCACAAUUACAUGAUCACAUUAUAUCAGUUUGCUUAGGCUAUAUGGGCUGACUUAAUGAAAUAGUGACGAUAAUGAUCGUAACUGAGGAAAAGAAGAACAAGCAUGAACAUUUUGCACCACUGUAUUAUGAAUAUAAUUCCUUCAAAGUAAAAGGCUCUAUAUGGAGUAUUAAUAUUGAGUUGGAGUUAGUUAUAUACAACGUGUUACUUGGUAUUCCAUUAUUAUUAAAUUAUGCAAAUCUGUUCCUUUGUCCUUCAUGUCAUGGCUAAAUACUUUUUCAUGCUUGUUGCAGACCUCUGUGGUUAGUGUAGUGAAACCUUGCUGGAUCUUGAGCCCAUUAAUGGGAUGUGGCACUUGAGCUAGAAUGGAAAACCUCGUGGGCAGAUUGAUGUAAUUAUUAUUGGUGAUACAGUGCUGCUACCUUUGCUCCCUCUCUCAUCAAAAAAUUGUCUUAAAAUUUUGCACUAAGAAAAUCUGUGUUUUUUAUAUUGCCGUGGCAAAAUGUUAAAUGGGCUUCACUUUUUUUUUUGGGGUGGGGGGUGGGGAUAAAAAAGAAAACAAAAGAAAAUUUUCAAAUUUUACAUUCCAUCAUUACCUCGGACUCAGGAGUGGGGAAAGGUUAAAGUUUUGUACAGUAAUAUAGAGAAACCCUCUGCCAAUCCAAACCUCUGUGAAAGGGAUCCCAUUUCAUGACAAUCUUUGUGGGUUUUGAGUUGGAAUACUCUGUCAGGUUAGAAGUUGUUUCAAUUAAUUAUCUAUAACAUAUAAGUUGUGUUAAAUUGUAUGACUAUAUAGUGAUUCAUUGUAGGAUACUAGGACAUCAAAGAGCUCAAAAUUUCUGACAGAUUUUCUUCCUAAAUUUGGUUAAAAAGUGAUGGAUAGAUUAGAACUAAGUUGCUCAGCAAUUUGGAGCUGUAAACAUCUAGAAGGCUGGAACUAAAUGCCAUUUGAUUAGGUUAGAAUAAUAUGAGCCGAGCUUACAAUCUUUGUCAUUCAUUCAAUUGCUUUUUCAGAUGACCACAAUUCAUCAUGUUGAUAUUAUCCGAUUGGUGCCUUGUAAAUUUCCUUUAUGACUAUGAUAUAGGGCAUUAUUGAAGAGUUGAAAACAUCCAAAGAAAAUUAGCGAGAAUAGGUUCUGGAUUAAAAAGACAACUUUAUGCAUGUUUCCUUUCUGCUUCAUCAAUUGAUUAUAGACCAUUAAUUACCUAUGCCCUUUUUUGUUUCGGCUUUGCUUUACAGUAAUAGUGCCUAGAUGUAAUGAUAGGAAAAUGUGCAAAUCGGUUGUCUAUUCAUCUGGUGUACCUCUAAUAGCUAGAAAAAUGAAGGUAUAUAUCCUUUGAAAUAUUCAGUUUGUUUAGUGUCUAAACUAUGUUUUGUUCAGUCAACCAUUCCUAAAUUGUUUCGAAGCUUCAUGCUGCAUUUAUCCAGUUUGUAGAGCCUGGAACUAAGUUCUAUAUGGACAGUUCUUGCAGCAUCUGAGGAUCCCCUUCUGCUAGUAGUGCAGCAUCAUUAAAGGCACCUUUGUUAAUGGUGUUGAUUCUGUCUCAUGGACGGCAAAUAACUCAGUGAAGCUUUUUAGUUCCCAGAGUGAUGGUACUCAUUGUUGGACCUUUUUCAGCGCUGCAGCUUAUGGAAAAUGAAACAAGGUUCCACAGAUCUGUUGGUACAUAAAUGUGUGUCUUGUUUAAAAUACUUGUUUUCACAUGAUUAUAUGCUAGCAUUGACACACUUUUUUAUCAAUUGCCUAGACCUGUUGAAUCCAUUCAUACUUCAGCUUGAAAUCCGAGCUAUUGAAACAAGGCUCCAAUGAGUUCAGUUUUGGACUAUCCUUAUAGUUGUCCUAUUUCCUUUAUGGUUAUAAGUGCUGCGUUUGGCAUAUGAAUCUAAUUGAAUGAAAGUGAAUCAGGGGUUGGUCUUAAAAGCGCAUAUUGUUCAAAUACAAAAAGUAAUAUUAUUUGAGACAAUUCAUACGGCUUCCUUUGAGUGAAAAAUAGUCAUAUUACCAUUUAAACUGGCAUGAUAUGUUCUUCCAGUUUAUUCGAAGAAUUAUGAGAAGAACCUCAGGUGUGUUAACUAAAAAAUGCCCAAAAUGGACUGUUCAUAUUCAUGCCACUGAAUCCCAGGUAUGUUAAUUUUAAACUCCAAUUAAAUGCUCUAAUCUUUCUUCACUCAUUUUAGCAUGUAUUCCAUAAUUCAUGCUUUCUUCUUCCCCUUUUAAUUUUUCCUCUUCUUCUCUUUUAGCUUCCGUAGUAUUGGGAAUCAGUUGUUAUUGAUGUUGGAAAAAGGAAUUGUUUUAUUUGGAUCAUAAGAGGGACAAUCCUGAGCUUGAUUAUGUACUUUCCAUUUGACGCCAUUUAUAUUUAUAGGCUUCUUCAAUAAGUUGAUGUCGUUAUCUGUGUGAAUAUUUUUAGCUCUUGUAAUAAUGCUAUUUGAUUUCUGAUAACUAGUAAUUGGGUAUGGAAAGUGAAACAAGGUUUCCCAGGUCAGUUCAUAAAUAAAUAUAUGUUUACAUUCACGCACUUGCUAGUCAAUUGCUUAGAGCACUAGCAUAGUAGAAUAGCUUCACACUUUAGCUUGAAUUCCCAAGCUAUUGAAUGAGUUCAGUUUUAUGUGCAUAUUUAUUUAGAUUUGGUAAUAAUAUUAGCUUGAUUUUCUGCGUUAUACUUUGAAUCAAUAUAAUGUUUCAAUUUUACAGCAGAGAUUUAUGUUGCUAUUUAGCUUCAGAAAUAUCAGACAAGGAAUUUUAAACAUAAGCUCGAAGCUUGAUUAUUCACAUAUAAAUAAUGUGAUCUAUGUCGAUUGCAGAUUAUUUAGGAAGCAGUAUAGUUCAUACUGAGGUGUUAUCGUGGACAAAAUUAUUGUUUCAUCUGACAUAUUGUUCGCUUAAGCAAUAGUAAUGAACUUGAGGUGUUAGUUUUUGAAGUCUUCUGUUUAUAUAUAAGUUGUAUUGAAUCUCUCUCGACAAUCUUUCUUCUAGUUUUGAUCAUUGCAUCAUAAUUUUCACAUCUGUGUUUAUAAUAUAACUCUGUGCAUUACUUCAUCUUUUUCUCACUUUUUGAUUCCUUGCAUCUUGAAUCUGUUUAAUCAAUAUUCUGGACUUCUUUUGUGGAGAGGCUGCCCUUCUGAGAAUCUGUUUUCAGUUAUCACUUACCCCUUCUAAUAGUUUGCAAACCAGAUGUGGUUUUUGCAUGUUCAUAAACUUGCAAUGUAAUUUGUUUAUUAGUUCAGUUAAUACAAAUUUCAAAGAUGAAAAACACAAAAUGACUAUUUAUUCCAAGCGUAUAUAUUUAUAUCUUGGACAGCAUUGAACUCUUUUUUUAAAAAAAAAAAAAUUGUUACAAUUGCCACAUUUGUAAUCUAAAAUUUAUUGGAAAUCUAGAUACAGACACUUAGUAGUGCAAUCAAAAAUAAAAAAAAUCUGUCGGACAUUAACUUGAAAAUAUGUUUCUACUACUAUUUGGAGAAGUGUAUAUUGUACGUGGCAUUGAACUUUUCUUUCUAUUUCUUUUUUCAAAAUUAUUACAAUUCACACAUAUUUCAUUCUAAAAUUUGUUGAGAUUCUAGAUACAAAUACUCAAGGAUACAAUUUUAAGCAAAUGACUCGUGGAGACUGGAGAUAUCUACCCUUAAUUAUUUAGUGAAAAUAAAUUAGAUAUCAAAUUUUGUCAUAACAAAAUUAAUCCAAAACAAAACAAAAGAUGUCACCUUAAUUGUUGAUAUAUCUGAAUCUUAUUAUCCUCCUUUUGCAACUACGAAAACAAAAGAAUAUUUCAGCAGUGGCGAGAGAGCAGGGCAGAAUCAAGUAUAAAACAUAGGAUAAGGAACGAGAUUAUAACGAACAAAACUACCACUAAAUGAUGACAACUUUCAUUUCAUUUGCAUCUUCAUCCUCUCUGAUUCUUCAACCCCUUAAACCCCCAAAAUCCUCAAGACUCUCAAAAGCAAAGACACUAACUUCAACCAUUAAAGCAACUUCUUCUCAACCAAAACCCAACAACGCAAAUGCUUAAAAACCCACUUCAAGAAACCGCAGAAGAUCAUCGUAUGGCAGUUCGAGAAGGUCAGCUCUCAAGAAAACAUUCGCCCAAGAGCAAGUCACGUUCACUACACCCGUCUCCAGUGACCCGCGUGUGGGGAUUAUUGGUGGAGGCAUGGCCCGUCUCGCACUCUCGCUUGUGCUUUGAGUUUGGAUAAGAGAGGUGUAAAGUCCACUAUUUUUGACACGGUUUGUCACUUGUCUGGUUUCUUGGCCUUUUUUUUUUCUGUACUUUUGUGUUUUUGAUUGGAGAGCUUGAAGUGGGUGGCCAAUUCAAUUAUCUGUUUAAUAUGGUUAGGUUGUGUUUGUAUUUGAGAGUAUACGCUUGUAUAAUGGUAAUGUAAAAAAUUUGCUGUCAACAGUCUAGCAUGUGUUGUUAUGCAUUGAAUUUUGAUUAUAAGCAUCUUUUGGAAUUGAGGUGCUCUGACCUUUGAUCUGCGUUUGUUGAGGAAUGAAAUUAAAACAUUAGCUGCUAAAUAAAAAUGGGGGUUCAUCAAAAUUUUAGUCAACCACAUUUAUGUAUUCUUAACACUGUGCUUUGCUAUAUCAGGGGAAUCAUGGCUUGGGAGGAAGAAUGGGAACCAGAAUGAUUGGUCCUCAACCACUGAUAUUUGAUCAUGCUGCUCAAUUCUUUACUGUGACUGAUUCUCGGUUCAUGAGUUGGUUGAUGGUUGGUUGGAGAGAGGUCUGGUGUGACCAUGGGAAGGUGCGAUUGGAGAGCUUGAAGUGGGUGGCCAAUUCAAUCCAUUUCCUUCUUCACCUCCAAAAUACAUUGGUGUUAAUGGGAUGCGCCCUCUUGCGGACUCUUUAUUGGCCCAGGUGACAAAUCUUUGUUUUGCUUUUGUGUUCUUUUCUUGUUGAUUCCAUCAUGCUUCUUUGAAUUAAAAGGGGAAAAUUGCCUAAUUAAAUCACAAUGGUGAAAAAACCGAAGUAUUGUUUUGAAGUUUGCUGGAAGGUAGUGUUGCUGCUUGGGUAUUCAAAGUCCCAAAAUCAUUAUACCGUUGAGGUUUGACCGGAGAAGGAUGAUAAGAGUAUAUGAAACUAAAAGCUAUAAUUACAUGCUCACAUGAUUUUAAUUGCUUAGGCUGCAUGGCUAUACUUAAUGAAAUGUGCCGACAAUGAUCAUAACUGACGAAAAGAAUAACCAGCAUGAACAUUUUGCACUGCUGUAUGAUGACUACAAUUCCUGUGAAGUAACAGGCUCUAUAUAUGGAUAAUGGAUUAUUAAUAGUGAGUUGGAGUUAGUUAUAGACAGCAUCUUACAUGGCAUGCCUUUAUUUUUAAAUUAUUUAAAUAAGUUCCUUUGUCCUUCAUGCCUUGGCUUAAUGCAUUUUGAUUCUUGUUGCAGACCUCUAUGGUUAGCAUAGUGAGACCUUGCUGGAUAAGUAAUCUUGAGCCAUUUAAUGGAAUGUGGCACUUGAGGGAGAAUGUGAAACCACGUGGGCAGUUUGAUGUGGUUGUUAUUGCUCAUAAUGGUGAUUCAGUGCUGCUAUCCUUUCUCGUUUUCUCUCUCUGUGGAUUGUUAUAGUCUUACAUUUGCAUUCCAAAAAUGCAGGUUAUUGUUUUUCGUAGUUGUAUGAACGUGACAAUUGCCUUUGCUAUUGGAAAAAAAAUAAAAUAUUUCUGAUUUUACUCUCUAUCAUUACAGUGGAUUAGGAAUGGAAAAUAAUCUGGUUUAUUACAGGGAAACCCUACCGAAAUCCAAACUCGGUCCCUCUCCCUAACCAUCCUGGAAUACCCUGGGGGGUUAGAAUGCAUAUAGUGUUACAUUAUAUGAUUUUGUAGUUCGCUGAGUUCUUAUGUUUUCUGCGAUACUAGGACUUCAAAAAGUGCUGAAAACUUCAUAGAAUUUCAUACUGAUUUUUCACUGUCAAUUUGGAGAAAAUGAUGGCUAGAUUACAAGUAAGAUUAAGAGCGACUUUUAAAUUUAAUCAACUGGAAGACUGGUAUUGAAUGGCUAUUAGUUAGGUUAGAAUAAGAUGAGCAAGACUUUCAAGCUGUGCCAUGCAUUCACUGGCCGUUGUAGUAUUACGUAGGUUGUUAUGGAAGUAAAAAAGAUCUCUAUAAAUUUAACAACCAGAUUAGGUUUCUAGAUCCAGAAGUCGAGGUUAUGUUUAUUUGCUUACUCUUUCGACUGUUAAUUGCCUAUGUCUUUUUCUGUUUACAUUUUGGCUUAGCUUUGUAAUAAUAGUUCCUUCAUGUAAUGAUAGGAAAAUGUGCAAACUGGUUGCUUGGUUCAUCUGGCUUACCUCAAAUAGCUAGACAAAUGAAGGUAUAUGCUUUGAAAUAUUCAGUUCUUUUAAUAUUAUCUAGCCUAUGUUUUAUUCAGUAUUGGCCAGUUCUAAUUGUUUUGAAGAUUCAUAACUCAUUUUCCUGGUUUGUAGAGGCUGGAACUAAGUUCUAUAUGGGCCCUUCUUGCUGCAUUUGAGGACCCCCUCCCACUGGGCAGUGCAUCAACAUUUGAAGGCGCCUUUGUGAAAGGUGUUGAUUCUGUCUCAUGGAUGGCAAAUAACUCAGCAAAACUUUUGAAUUCUCAGAGUGAUGCUCCUCACUGUUGGACCUUCUUCAGCACCGCAGCUUACGGAAAAUGAAACAAGGUUCCACAGGUCAGUUUGUAUAUAAAUGUGGGUCUUCUUAAAAGUACUUGCUUACACAUGAUAAUAUGCUAGCAUUGGCACACUUUUUAACCAAUUGCCUGGACCUCUACUUGAAUCCAUUCAUGCUUCAGCUUGAACUCCAAGCUAUAGAAACAAGGCUGCAAUAAGUUCUGUCUUUUUGUGCAUAUUUAUGUUCCCUUUUAUACUUGAAUCAAUAUGACAUUUCAAGUUUACAGCGAACUUUGGUGCUGUGUGGAUAUAUAUAUGUUGCAAUUUAGGCUUUCUGCAAGAUUUUUAAUGAUUUUUUUAUCAUUUAUUAGGAAAAUAUCCCAACUGCAACAGCAGAGAAGGUGAAAAAAGGUAUGCUCGAGGGUGUUGAAGCUGCACUUGGCCGACCGAAAGGUUCACUUCAGAAGCCCAUUUAUACUCGAGUCCAUUUAUGGUAAGACUCCACUUUUAAGGACAUGACCUUGUAAUUUCAUUUUUUUAUCUUGUCCAAUUUGGAUCCUUGUAACCUACUUGACCUGUAAAUAUUUGCUGUUGGUGUUGGUUUAGAAUGAGUGGUUGAUUUGGACAAGCUUAAAAAGUUAUUGUGUGGACUUGUGUAUAGUCCUAGUUCUAUUUUCCUGUUACGCUCAUUUUUAAAAAAAGAUGGAACAUGUCAUUCCAAUUUAUUAAAUAAAUAAAACAACUUCAGAAUUUCAUGAUUAAGAAAAUAGUUCCUAUGUGAUGAAUUAGGUAUUUAUUUAUUUAUAUAUCUAUUUUAUUUAUUUAUUUUUUUGGGGGGGAAAUGUGUAGGGGUGCAGCUCUUCCAACUAAUACCCCAAGUAUUCCAUGUAUCUUUGAUCCUCAUGGAAGGGCUGGUAUAUGCGGCAAUUGGCUGUUGGGUUCAAGUGUAGAGUCAGCUGCAUUGAGUGGCAUGGCUCUUGCCAAUCAUGUAAGCAAGAAUAUGAUUUUUCUUUUGCUUAUUUGGUUUUAUUUUGUGCAUGUAACUAUAUAUUUCAUGAUUGAUAUAAAUAAAAUAAAAUAAAUCUAAGACAACCAUUCUAUCCCUAUAGGGACAUCUAAAUAUAAAUUUGUAGAUUGGCUUCAAUCAGAUUGAAAUAUCAGACAAGUUUCAACAACAUUAGCUUGAAGCUUGGUUAUUCUUAUAUAAAUAACGUAAUCGGUCUAUGUAGAUUGCAGACUAUUUAGGAAGUGGUGGAGUUCGUCCUGAGGAAUUUGCUGUCGGUUUACACAACGAGUUUCAAUCGCUCGAAGGACAUGAUAUUGGACAAUUCCUGGGUUUGGAGUCCGUGAAAAAAGAGCAAGUUCAAGCAUAUCAGCUUACUUCUUGAAUCCCUAAGCAGGCCACAAAAAUUUCUGGAGUUUUUCAAGGUAUACUUCUAUUGAUACACUCUUUAUGGCUUUCUUUUUUUCACUUGGGUUACUGUCAUGUUAAUUCUCUUGGUUUUUAUGGCUAGGAUUAAGAAGUUUAUUCACAAAAUGCAGUUAUUGGCAUAGUUGCUAAGCAAGCAUCCUGAAAUUCUUUUUGUGAUACCAUCCAUUAUGAAACGUAAAUGAGUACAGAUGCAAAGGAGAGCGGAUUCUUGGAGCAGCUAAAUCCUUACAGAAAACUUGUUUUCAGUAGCAUAGGUGACAGGAAUUGUGAUAUUUCCCUGGCUUUCAUGGAAGAAAAUAAAAAAUUUCUAAUAACUGUAACCUUUUUGAGUUCUCCACAAAUCAGUUUGAAUAUGAAGCCAAAAAUCAGAUGCAGAUUUCAGAGCAACAAAGUUCAAUGCUAUCAGUUGUUUUGGGUUCAAGUGAUCAGAGCUUCAUCCGGCACAAGCUCGCCUAACAGAGUAUGAAAAAUAUUGAAACCUACAGUUAACAAUUCUCAAGUUCCAUAUUUGACCUGUAAUCACAUUCAAGUUAAUACAUGACUACUGAUAUAUGAAAUGACAUUUUUAUUCAGUUCCAGGAAAGUCGCAUGCAGAGGAUUUAAGUUUCAUAUUAAUGGAAUGGUUUUGAGCUUUAUUAUUAGAUUUUUAAAAAAAAAUAAUUAAUGGAGUUAACAUUACUUAUUACAGGACAAGAAAGAGAGAUUAAUUCUCCAUGGGAAAAGCGUUGAAAGAAGCUUCUCAUGCGCGUAAUCAGCCUCUCAGUUGCUUACCAUGGCAUCUUUUCCAUACUUAUACACAUGUUGAUAGAAUUCUUUCUUGGUUAAAUAAUCUGGGACAAAUCGCUGUUCAUUGGCAACACGAGCAACAAAAUAUCACACAAAUUAAUUCCAACAAAAAUAAUAUUUUUACACGAGAGACUUGUGUGAGAGAAGAGGGUUAAUUAGAUGAUUACUAUUGAGAUCACAAGUAUGAGCGAAAUGAACACAGGCAAUUGAACAAACCGUGACAGAGUCUAUCCAGCUGAAGAAAUCGAAAACUCUUCGGCAUUUGUCUGCAAGCUUUAAAGCCGUCGGAAAACCAUUGUGCUUCUGCUAAAUUAACUUGAUAGCCAGCAACAAAAACAACAAGAAGAGCCCAGCACAGUAGCAGUUUCUAGUUUUUCAUGCUUCCCUUCUUUUCUUUCUUGAGAUUGAAAUGAUUUAAGAUUUAUUUAAAGGGUCUUUGUCUUGGUAUGCAAAUAAUGGUUUGAAAACAGAUUAUAUGCUAUUACAAGUUAAUUUUUCUGAUAACGAGUGUUUGACUAGGAUUCUUGUCGUAGUAUAAUUAUUAAACAUGAUUUUAUAAUUAAUGAUUCUACUAUGGUAGUAAUGAUUCUAUAAUGAUUUUAUAAUUAAUGAUUCUACCAGGAUUUGAAAACUACUAUGGUAGUAAAAUUGCUUGAAGCAACAGCUUAAAAUUAUCAGAUGGUGUGAAAACCGGAGAAGAUCUACCAAGAGGGUAAUGAAGUUUUCUAAAGUCCAACUGAAAUGAUUUCAGGAUUCACUUCAACAAUGCAAAAACAUAUUUGAUAUUUCAAAACUGAUGAAAUUCAUUAUCAUUAUCGUUAUCUUGGACGUAUUUGAAAUGCAUUAUCAUUAUCGUUAUUUCAAAACUGAUGAAACAUAUUUGAAAUGCAUUAAUUACUGAUGCUAGCACUUGAAAUAAAAAAAUAAAAAAUCAAAUGAUAGCCAUGUUCAAGAAGCGAAGUAUUUUUAUAUUUCAUACUUGGCCGUACCGCAAACCCAAUUUAUAAGACAUGAAGAAGAAAUCUCCUUUAUAGAGUUAUUUCUAAAAUGGCAGAAUCUACCAUCUUGAAUCAAAGUAUAUCAUUAGAAAAAGAAGGAGAAUUAAGGACAUUUUAUCUCGAGAGCUACCUGAUAGGGUACUCCAUUCUUGACAGAGUAACGGCCCUCGUUGUCAUAUUGCCACAGAAUCUGAAGUUCUUUGAGGAAAUGAAUGCUUUGGUGGAAGAAGACCUUGAGCAAGAACAAGACCAACAUGAAAGAGAGAUGAAGAAAAUCUCUAAUUUUGCAAAUAUGGUCUGAUUGGCUUGUCAGAUAACUAACCAAACUAAUCACUACUUUCAGUGUCAAUCAAAUUCCAACAAACAAUUCAUUUUCUGUUCGAACUCGAGUGGUGAUCAGCCAAAUAAAGUUGCCUGAAAACUGCUCCGACAAAACUCUGGGGAUAUAGUACAUUGCUUGUUGAAAUUGGUGUAUGUAAACAGAAAUUCAAAAGCCCUCACCGAAAUUUGACAGAGAUUGAAAGUAGCGAUUAAUUUGGUUAGAUAAAACUUACAAGCCCACAAGACCAAUUUGAUUAGUUAGAGAUCUUCUUCCACCAAGCAUCCACUUCCCCAAAGGAUUUCACCCAGAGGAUUUCAAGAGAUCGAUCUUUAAUUUGCCGUCUCUGAACAUGAAACAUGAUCCAAUAUAUUAUCACCACCUAGCAAUAUCUGAGUAGGCUUCUCUUUAACCUUGCAUGUUAUAAAGAUUGAGUACAUAUAAAUAAAAGGCAAGUGCUAAGUUAUAUGUAAUGUAACUUACACUACUCACAUGAACAGUGAGUGAGCCCCACACCAUCACUAUUAAUGUGAGUAGAUGUAAGUUACAUUAAAUAUAACUUAGAGGGAUCUAGAUAAAAUUGUACUCUGAAAAUUUGCCCUGGCCCUCAAUACAUGUUAAUCCAUGAGUUAGGUAAGAGUUAGUUAGCUUUGUCCUAUUUAGGAUUGCUGCCUUAUAGGUGUAGCUUCUAAGCAACAACCUCGGUUAAUGACUUUGUAUUUGAUGAAAAAUCUUUGUUACUCUCACUAUUUUUUUCAAUUAUUAUUUUUCAAGCUUUAAAAAUCAUAUUUAUCAAUUAUUUUCAACUUUUAUUUCGUUGCAAUUGUAACUCAAUUUUUAAGCCACAACACUCUAAAUAAAUCCUCAACAAUUAAUGGUCUCUUUAACCUUGAAAUAUUAAUAACCCACCUUCGGUCACCAUGAGCCACCACCGCACCACGAACUGCCAUCGGCAUUUAUAUUUUGCUAUCUUUUGACGUUAAUUUUAUACUAUUAGAAUCUUUAUUACUGGAUCUACCCAACAAUUGCUUGUAUCAUCGACAAUAAAGUUUCUCGUCAUUUUAAGUACAUAGAUACAAAACUUUGACCGUAAAUCUACGAUGAACAGAAGCUCUAUUUUCGGUAUUACAUUUACUGUUAUGAAACUCCAACGAUAAGGAUUCUCUUGGUAUCAAAAUUGACGUCAAAGGAUGCCAAAAUUAUAUCGAAGAGGGUAGAUUACGGUGGUUGGUGAUGGUCAAUAAUUUUGCCAUUCAAAUUUAUUAUUUGAUAAACUAAUGAUAAACAAAUUAAAUAUGUUUUAGUGUGUUAAAUAAUUUUGUAUUUUAAAAGUCAACAAGACAUUGACGGGGAGGGGGGAAGGGGGCAUGGGCUUUGAUAACGCAGCAAAAAAUGCAUUAACGUUGUAAUUAGUGUUAUCCAACGCAUUUCAUUUCAAUUACUAAAAAUUGGUUUGUUUCAAUUAAUGUUGUACCCAUGAAGUAGAGUAUGCCAAACGUAUUUUUUAAGUAUUGAAAUUGGGCAAAAGUUAUACCAUAAAAAUAUUUGAUAAACACUUGUUACUAUAAUUUAAAAUUUAAGUUGAUUUGAUUAAUAAGAUAAAAAAUUUAAAAUAUAUUUUUUGUUUUUAUAAAAUUUUAUUUAAAAAUUAUAUUUAUUAUGCAUUAUUAAUUUUUAUAUCAAUUUAAACAAAAAUGCGAAGAAGCCCCGGCCUUUUAAUAGAAAUGCGAAGGCAGUGUUGCAACUUGGGUCGGUCCUCCCAAGUACAGUACUAUGGUACUGAUCAAAGUCCCAACCUCAUCUCAGUUUUGAGGUUUAAUCCCAUAAGGAAAAUAAGAAUAUAUGAAACUAGAAGCUAAAAUUACAUGGUCACAUGAUUGCAAUUGCAUAGGCUGCAUGGGUGGACUUAAUCAUAACUGAGGAAAAGUAGUAGCAUGAACAUUUAUUUUGGCACCACUUUGUUAUGACUAUAAUUUGUGAAAAGCAACAAGCUUAUUUAUAUAUGCUACAUUAGUAUUGAAAUGGAGUUAGGUGGAUACAAACAUCUUAUCAAGGCGUAUGCCAUUAUUAUAAAAUUAUGUAAGGCAAGUUCCUUCAUGUCAUGUCCUUUUACGGGUCUAAUUCUGUUUUAAUGAUUGUUGCAUCUUAAGGUUAAUGGAAUGAGACCUGCUGGACAAGUAAUCUUGAGCCAUUUUUUCUUCCCAAUUUUGUUUGUUUGUUUGUUUUGGGGAUUGUAAUGCAAAAGAUUUUAGACUGGGAAUGUAAUUAUAUGUUGCUAUGAGCUUUAGUUUGAUUAUAAUGAAUAAAUAAAUGUAUUACUGAAUUUCAGAAAUGAAGCUAGUGGGAAGAAGAAUUAAGCUUAAUUGAGAUUGAUAUAUAGAGGGGUACUGUGAUGAUCCAAGCAUUGAAGGCACAAAGAUCCAUCUCUGUUGGAUUACAAACGAGCAAGGAUAUCAAAGAAACCCCACCAACAAGGCAAUUUAGAGACAAUCUGUUCUACAUAGAUUCACUUAUUCUCUAACAUAAAUUACUUCUUGUGUGUUUUCUUAAGCAUUCAUUGCUUUUUGGGACUUGAUAGAGUGUUGUGGGAGUUUGACAAUUAUAGUAUCUGUGGAACUUAUAUCGUAGCUUUUGUUAUGUCAUGACAUCGCAGCUUAGUUUUAAUCUCAAUUGUUAAUGUCAUCAUCACGAUUCAUGAUGUCAUGGAAGUUCAUGAAUGUUUAUCUUCAGCUAUGUAAAUGAUGCAAAUCAAUUAUUAAAUGGUCAAUUUUAUUCAUAAAUUAUUAAUUAUAAAAGAAAUGAAAAAAUCUCAAUAGUCGGUAGAAGUAAAGGUAUCAAUUUAAUUAGAUCAUAGAUAAUAAACAAAAAAUAAAUUUUAAGUAAAUCAUAAAUAAAAAAUAAAAAAAUUAAUUAAUUACUAUAAGGUAUAAAUAAAAAAUAAUGACAUAAAUGGAAGUCUCAUAAAUAGAUAUUUAUAUUUUAAUCUUAUCCCACUUAAACUCAUGCAUAAAUUAGGAUUAAUAAUCUCAUAAUUUAGGAUUAAAUUUAAAUUUAGAUUUCCUCUGUCUAAUCGAGAUAAACUUACAAAAUAUAGGAUAAAUAUUUAAUCACAAAAUUAAUCCAAUCUCAUACUUAAAACCUAGUAUCCACUAGGAGCUGUACGUUGCAGAUGGUAAUGGGCACUGCUUGCACUCCGCAUUGGGCUUAUUAUUACUAAAUCCACACUCGCAUAAAAUUUAAAUUAUCAAACCGACACCCACAUCUGCUGCGGGUUUUAAUUUUUUAAGAAAAUCCACCCGUUGUAGGUUUUGACAAUUACUAUCUACAAUGCUACCCGACGGAUUUUUUGCGGGUUCUCAUAUUUAAAAUAACAAAUGUUUAAUAUAUAAAUUUAUAUUAAUAAGCUAAAAUUCCACAAAAAUAUACUCAAUUCUAAAUUUAAUCAAAGUAAAUAGAAAAUUAAAAUUUCAAUAUCAAUUCAACACAAAUUCUUAAAUUUAAGUAUGAAAUAUAUAAAUCCAUAAAAAAAAACCACAAAUGCCACGAAAAAUUCAUGGGUGUGCGGUUGCGGCACAAGGGUGAAAGGAAAAUGGGUAUGCUACUGCUGCUCAUGGGUGGAAGGGAAAUAGUUUGGAAGGCUAGGUUUUGCAGCUGCUGCUCAAAGGUGAAAGGGAAAUAGUUUGGGUUUCCUUUAGGUUAGGCUAUGAGUUGCAACUUGCACACACGACAUGUAACGUAUUUAUACUUUACAUUUAUUUAAUUUAUAAAUUUUUAGAUUUAAUUAUUUUUUCAAUUAAAAUUACAUUAAAAAUAUUUGGGGAAAAAAGUUACAGGUUUAGUAGAUAUCCAGGCGGCAUCCAUCGGAUAUUUAGUUAAUACCAAACCCACCCACAACGUAGUGCAAGUUUCAAUUUUUGAUACCAAACCCGCCCGUAACCCACAAAAUUACUAGUAAUGAGCGGGUUUUGGCAGGCAAGUUUGGACGAAUUUACUGGUUUGUAGGUACCAUUUAGGCUUGGCAAAAUCUGGAUCCAGUCCGGGUUUUGGUGUUGCCCGGGACUGGACCAAAUGAGUGAAACUCAAGACCGGACCCGGGUUAAAACCCGAUUUUUCCAGGUGCGGUCCGGGCUCAAGCCCGGCACCCUCGGGCCGGGGUUUUUUAUCCGGGUUUCUAAGCCCGCAUGUGAUAACUCAAUAUUUUUUUUCUUCAAUUUUUUCUUUCAUUUAUCUAACAAUGCAAAUUUUAGAAAAGAAAAUAGUCGAAUAAACUCAUUCAAUCUCAAGCUUUAAAAAAGAAAAUAAUCAAAUACAAAUAUAUAACAUACUAACAAUGCAAAUUUACACAAAUAAUAAAUAAAAAUUAUUUCAAUCUACUUUCUGAUACCUAAAUUCAUCCAAUUUCUAACCUAAACUCAUUCAAUUUAUAUAAAAAAUAAAAUUAAAUUCAACAACACAAUAAUCACACAAUAAAUCUAAAUAACAUCCAACAUAUCAUAAAUUCAUAAUUAUAUAUAUAUAUAUAUUAAUUUAUUAAGAAACCAGGGCCGGGUCCGGGUUGGGUUUUUGGUGUUGAACCCGCAAAAUUACUCACAGCGGGCGGGUUUUGGCUGGCAAGUUUGGAUGGAUUUGCGGGUUUGUAGGUACCGUUACCAUCCAUAGUUGCAUGUUGCAGUUAAGUUGAUGCGGAAAAAGAAAUGUAGGCAUGAAAUAAAAAUUAAUAACAUAUAGUAAAUAUAAUUUUUAAAUAAUAAUUUUAACAAAAUUAAUAAAAUUAUAAUUUUUUUUUAUCAUACAAGUGUAAAAUCAAAUCAACUUAAUUUUUAAGUUAUAACAACUAACAUUUAUCAAACAGCUUAGUAUUAUUGUUUAAAAUGCCUAAGUUACCCAUUUAAUAAUUUAAUAUAUAAGAUACAUAUGUAAUCGAAUGAACAAGGGAAUUGACAUAUAAGCAAAUCAAAGAUAUUGUUUAACAAACAAUAAAAUUGUGCCACGUUUUGUAAGGAUGAGGAAACUUAACGGGCUUAACCGGAGCCUAUCGUUCAUUGAUUGUCAAGUUUUGUAAUGAGUACGGCUGCUCGAUCGCCAUCUUUUGCAAGCACCAGCUGCCACACUGCAGACACUUCCACCAUUGCGAAAUGGUCAUGCUUCAGUCUUUUUGUUUUUGUUAUGAGUGCCGCUAAAUAUCAAGAACAACGAGAGAAGGAUGAGAGAAUUACCUAUUCUCUCUCUCUGUUGUUGAUUUUUUUUUUCUCUCUCUUCUCCCACCACAUGCUUCAUUCUCUCGUCAUUCUUUCGUUUUUCUUGAUACUUAACAUUUUUCUUUUGUUAUACACAUUCGAGCAAGUCUUGCGUACAUCAGUUUGUGCCUGAGUUGCUGCCCUUUCAUUUUUACUUUAUGUAUUAAAGCAUCAUUCAUAAUCCUCCUCCCCACUAAAAAUGUUUUGAUAAAAUUAAUUAAAUAUUUAAAUUAUUUUAUUUAUUUAUUGUAUUAUGAUUACCCAAUAACUUAUUUACAAGAUAUUUAAUUUCCUUAUUAUUUUAACUUAUUUACAACGAUGGCAAUUGAACUCCCACACUCACUUCAACGACUUGACAAUUAAUGGUAGGAUAGUAAGCCUUUGAAUUUACGGAUUAUGUAAUGACUUCAAUGACUUUAGGCUAUGUUUUGGAGAUAUGAUUAAAUGCAGGAUUAGAUUAAUGUUAGAAUUAAAUAUUUAUCUUAUAUUUGGCAAGCUCCACUUUGGAUUAAAUUAUGGGACUAAAUUUGAAUUUAAUCCUAAGAUUAUGGGGAUUAACAAUCCCAAUUGAGAGAUGGGUUUAGUUAGGAUUAACUUUAAAAAUAAUUGUCUAUUUAAUUAAUUAUUAAAUGAAUAUCUAAUAUAAUAUUGGUUACUUUUAAAUUAUUUGCUAAUUUUUUGAUAAAAUAAAAUUAAAUAUUUAAAUAAUUUUUAAUUUGAUUUAACCUAGUCUAGUUUAUAUUUGUUUAUUAUAAUUAUAAUUGCCUAAUAACUAAUUUUCUGGAUAUUUAGUUUUAAUUAAUUAUCUUUUAAAUUAUUAUCAUUAAUUAUUUUAUUAUUAAAUAUUCAUAAAUAAUUCAUAUUUAUAUUUAAAUAUCAACUUAAAUGCUAUUUAAUUUUAUUCAAAUAAAAUUUAAUAUAGUCCAUUCCAAUACUAUACCAAACAUAAGAUAAUAUUAUAUAAGACAAGCUAAUUUAAUUAAAUUUAAUUAAAUCUAAUCCUAAUAAUUGGUUCAAUCUAAUCAUGCUUCCCAAACGUGGCCUUAACGUAAUAGUGCCGAUAUUUAGGGAUGGCAAUGGAUUGGAUUUGAUUCAAGAUCCAUGUGAUCCAAAUCCAAUCGGAUCGGAUUUGGAUCGGUUUAAAAUGGAUUUGGAUCGGAUUUGGAUAUCGAUGUGCGGAUCUAAGACGGAUCUGGAGCAGAUAUGGAUCUAUCUUAAUAUCUAAAUCCAUAUCCAUAUCCACUCAUCUUUUAAUUUUAUUUUAUUUUAAAAGUUUCUUAAUAAUUGUGGAAUGAUAAUGAUAAUAAAUUUUAUUCAUAGCAUAUUAGUAGUAUUUACCAUGAAUUUAAACUCUUAAAACUUAAAGGUUAGUUUUGUAAAUUUAAAGGUCAGCCAAGCCUCAAAGCAUGUACAUGCAAUAUUCAAAUUGCAAUCCAAGUAAUAUAACUUGGUAAUUUAUUUUAUCAUAUUGGCCAAAUAAUUUUUAAGGAAUAUAGUUAUUCAUAUAUUUAGUCAAAUAUGGUCAUAAUAAAAAUAAUAAAGGACUGAAUAUAAAUCAUAUUUAAUUUAUAUGUCAUUAUCUAAUGUUGUAGGAAUGAGGGUAGGUGUAUCGUGAAUACUAGAAUGAUGAAGGAGACAAUAGAAUAUUAGAUUGAUCUUACUCCUGUAAUUACUUCUGAAUGAUAUUUUAUUAUCUUUCUUAUUUGUUGUUUUGGUGUAGAAGUAUAAGCUACAAUAUUUAUUAUAUUUUUGAGAAAAAUUAUAUAAUUUAUUUGUUAUCAAUACAUUUUAGCACUCAAUUUUCAAUCUAAAAAAUUAUUACUUUUUUAUUACAAAAUUUUAAAAUUCAUGACGGAUCUAGAGCAGAUUUGGAUUUUAAUUUUUUUUUUCGGAUUUGGAGCAGAUAGAGAUAUUUAUUUCUUUUUUUGAUCUGGAUAUGGAGCGAAAAAUAUGGAUUCAUAACGGAUCUGGAGCAGAUGCGGAUCUUGAUUUUUAUUAUGGAUUUGGAUUUGGAGCAGAGUAGAUCCAACCCAUAUCUGCCCCAUUGCCAUCCCUACCGAUAUUGAUCGUGAUAAUGCACUCACUAUAUUGGGUGAUACACACCCAACCAUUCUUGUCUAGUUGGGGACCAUUCUUGAUCUUUUUAUUGCACUGAUCCGAUGUUCCACAUUUAGCCACGUUUCCGCUUUUACACAACCAAAGUUGUUGACCACAUCCGAAUUAGGGGUGUUAAAAAUGACCCGCCCAGUCCAGAUCCAAACCGCACCCUGACGUUGUGAGCCGAGUAUUACCCGGCCAGUUAUAAAGCCGGGCUAGUUUAUGAAUUAUUUGAUAAAUUCGGGACACGACCCAUAACUCGGAUUUAUUAAAAAAAAAAUUAAAUAUAUAUUAUUUUAAAUAUUUAUAUUUAUUUGACCCAUCUAUUACACAUAUAUAAAGUUUUAAACAUUUAAAGUUUAUUUUCAUGUCAAAAUUUAUUGAAAUAAAUUUAAAACUUAUAAAAUUACAAAAAAUAAAAAAAUUAUACAUAUAUAAUAUUAAAAAAAUACAUUUGUCGAAUAAAAUUUAAAUUUUGAAUAAAUAAAAAUUACGGAGUUGAAAAUAAGAGGUUUCCGUCACGCUAAUUUAAAUGGAGAGGAUAUUAAGUUCAGGCUAAAUAAUUAUUAAAAAAUUCAUAAUAAAAAAGCAAAAAGAAAAUAAAAAUAAUCCCAAUCUGUUUGAUGAACAAGGAUAGAAAAGGAUGAUUGUUUUAUGAGUAGAUUUGGCUCAUUGGUUGGAACAGUUUGGUUGUUGACUUGUCAAGUGUUGAUUGGAUGCUCAUCUAGUGGUCCCCAUAAUGUUAUUGAAUUAUAGUUAUUAGGGUUGGUAAAAUGCGGGUUUGGGCUCAGGUAUCGCAAUGCCCGGACCUGGCCCAGAUGUAAUUUUUAGAUGCUCGGACUGGGUUUUAAUUCGGAUACCUGGAUUUUAAAUUUUUUAAUAUUAUUUAUGUAUAAUUUUUUAUUUUUUUGUAAUUUUUUAAGUUUUAAAUUUAUUUUAAUAAAAUUUGACAUGAAAAUAUAAAUUUUAAGUAUUUAAAACUUUAGAUAUGUGUAAUAGAUGAGUCAAAUAAAUAUAAAUAUUUAAAAUAGUAUAUUUUUUUAAUAAAAUUUGAGUUUCGAGCUAGGUUCUGAGUUUAUUAAGUGAUGUUUAAGACCGACCCGACUUCAUACUCAGACCAAAUAAUACCCGACCCACAACGCCUGGAUGCGAUCUAGAUCUGGACCGAGGGGGUAUUUUUACCACCCCUAAUUGUUAUCUUCUUUCGUUUUCGUUUCCAUGUUUCAAGAUUUUCUAAUUAUUUAAUUAUGCUAUUUUCUUUUAAUAUGGUACACGCUACACACACUAGACAGGCAAUCCCAUUGAUGCUCUUUCCAAUCUCAUUAAGCAAUCAUCAUUAGCAUAUUUUUACAGCAUUCAAAUUAUUAAAAAUUAAAAUAACAUCAUUAACAGUUUGGAUUGGAACAACAUCUUGAAAUUAUAUAUCAAAAAGCUAAAAUUAUUAAACAAAAAGAAGAAAGAACUUGUAUACUUAUUGAUUACAACUUUCUCAUCUUAUUUGAACAAUGAAGAUGUCUUUCUGUGUGCACAUGCGCCGUAAGAUGAUUACGUUGUGGGGAAAACUGUGAUAAAAUUUUGGACCCAGUUGCCUUUGAUUUUUCAGACUGUCGAAAAUUGCGGCUAUGUGUUCACACUAUAUUAGUUCAGUUUAACCAUGCAAAGUUUUUGGGUAUUAUUCAUUGCGUGACACUGGAGACAAUUUAUAUUUAAUAGUUGGUUAGGCAUUUUGCUUGAUAUUAUUUGGACUCGUAGGGGUGUUAAAAUUUUUGUUAAUUUAUAAUUCAGAUCUUAUUGUAAUAAGAUAGCAAUUUUUGUUGUGGCAAAAUGUUGUUUGUUACAUAAACAGUUCAUACCAAGAAGAGCAGCCAUAUUUGACUUUUUAGAAGGACAUAAUAUUGGAAUAAGCGCAAUUAAGCAGUUAGCAAGCCUUUAGGAUGGAUGGCUUUCUAUGCAAAUGGGCUAUAAGAAUAAGAUGAUUUAAGUUUAGGGGAAAUUUGUACAUCUAGUUGCCUUCAAUUUUUCUGACGGGGAAAAUUGUGGAUGACACGUGUAAUUUAAACAACUUAAAAGAAGAAAUUAAGAUUAUCAUAUGAUAUAAUUAUAAAACGUCAAAAAGUGUAAUUAGAAAUUUUUGCUAAAGUAGAGAGAGAAUAAAAGGUCACAAAUUUGCUUUAAUUUACUCUAUGCUCCACGCGGUAUACUAGCUAGUACAAAUUCAGUAUGAUCACUACUUUAUAUAUGCAUUGCUUGAAAGUUAUAUAAAGUAAAUCUCUUUCACUUAUCAAAUUUUAAGUAUUAAUUAAUAAAUUAAUAAUGCUUAAUUAGAGAAGAAAAAACUAAGGGACAGUCCGGAAAGAUUAUUUGAUUAAAAUAUAUUCUUAAAUUCUACUAAAAGUUCAAUAGUGAAUAUAAAGUACAAAUAUAUAAUUUAAUAAUUUUCAAACAGAAUGUUCUUUUUUCAAUAAGAUUGGCUCAUAUUAAACUCUUUAUUAUUAAUCUAUAUUCCAUAAAGUACAAACUCUUUAUUAUUAAUCUAUAUUAAACUACCAACAAAGUGUUGGCUCCACUGGCAAUGGAGUCUCCUUAAGUGGUUUGACUGGAUUUGCUCCCCAGUUUGAGUCGCUGGGAAGUCGCAUUUGUUGGGAGAACAUGUGUCUCUCGGUUCGAGCAGGGACUUUUAGUAUGGGUUGUGGUACGGGCUUAAAAGUGCAUCCCAUAGUUGGGGCCCUUCCCAGGAUACCUCGUGGUCAAAACAAAAAAAAAAUUAAUCUAUAUUAAACUCAUGUCUCUUUCUAUACACAGUUGGCCUCCGUGCAAAAAGCAGUUUUCCGCGCGUAAAUCUUGUAUUAAUUUAGUGCAUGAUCUUAAGCAACAUCUUUGAUUUGCUAUUGUGUUGAUUAUCUCUGUUGAUUUUCCUAAUAUUAUAUCAUUUGUACUCUCUCAUACAUAAUAAAUUAUUAAAUCAAUGGUUUAUUCUUAAUAAGUUUUUUAGCAUUAAUUUGGGUGAAGGGGGACACAAUAGAUACAAAAUGGUUUCUUUGAGGAUUUUGUUUUUCUGUGAAAAAUCCAAAACUGAGAUGCGGUCAUGGGAUGAUUCCCUAAAUGAACAGACAUGUGGCAGAUGAAGCAGUCGUGGGUAAGUAUUAUUAGGAAUUUGAGUUGAUAUUUCAAAAUACUAAUAUCCCACGUUGUUUAAACAAGAGAACACAAGUUGAUUUAUUUAUAAAAACUAGAUACAUUGUGGCAUCAGAAUAAUGUUAUGUUAUAUGUAUGUAACUUAUAAUCCUCUCACAUAAAUAGUGGAUGAACCCACACUAUUAUUCAUGUGAGAAAAUUAUAAAUUACAUGCAUGUAACUUAGGGGAUCUUGUGGCAACAAAUCCCCGCAACACGAAACCAAGCAUAACUAAAAAUACUUUAAAGAAAUAUACGUAAAUUCCCAAGAGUUCAAAAGUUCACAAAACCAAGCAAUCCUUCGAAAGUUAAAUUCCCACUAUAAAGAAAUACAAGAAAUUUGUUCCAAACUCAAAAAGAAGACCCAAAGACCUAUAACUCUGAAAGCUACCUUUGAGACACAAGUAACAAAAGAACUUUGAAAGCUACCUUAGUGACACAAAGAACAAAAGAACUCUGAAAGCUACCUUAGUGACACAAGUAACAAAAGAACUCUGAAAGCUACCUUAGUGACACAAAUAACAAAAGAACUCUGAAACCUACCUUCAGAGCAAAAGAGAAGAAAUUACACAAGUAACAAAAGAACUCUGAAAGCUACCUCCUUCAGAGCAAAUCUGAAGGUACAAGAAAUUUGUUCUAAGCUCAAAAAGAAGACCCAAAGACCCAUAACUCUGAAAGCUACCUUAGAGACACAAGUAACAAAAGAACUUUGAAAGCUACCUUAGAGACACAAAUAACAAAAGAACUCUGAAAGCUACCUUCAGAGCAAAAGAGAAUAAAUAAAUUUCUAGAGACACAAAUAACUCUGAAAGCUACCUUCAGCGCCAAAGAGACACAAAUAACAAAAGAACUCUGAAAGCUACCUUCAGACCUUCAGCGCAAAAGAGUCCCUGGAAAAGAAGUCCCAGGAAAAGACCCAAAGACACAAAUAAAUAAAUAAAUUUCUCUUCUCCUGACACAAAGACACCGCAGAUACUAAAGCUACCUUCAGACCUCAAAAACCCCCUAUAAAUAAAUUUCCCCCUCAAAGCCAUCAGACCUCAACGCCAAUUCCCAAUUUCGCAGAUACUAUAAAGAAAUACUUUUUAAUUAGUUGAAACCUCAAAGAAACCCAGAAACCCUUCAAUUCAAACCUCAAAAAAUGUGCCUCGGAAACAAACCAUAUCAGUGCUCUGUUAUCUGGGAUGGGGAUGAAAACCUCGUUCACUUCAAGUGCCGUGUUCCAUCAACGACGAAGCGAGAGGAUGUGAAGGUUGAGAUUGAUGAACAUGGGAAAUUGCUUAUAGAAAUAAGCAAAGGGGUAAGUUCACAUAGUGAUCCUCUCUCUUCAGCUUCUUCCUUGAUGAUCAGAUUCGGAUCCUUUCUCCUAAGCUUCCUGAAGAAAAAUGAGGGAGACACCACCAGCCCGAUAGGCCCGAUGGAAUUUAACUUGCCAGCGGGUCUUAACACGAAUGACUUCGAGACUGCGAUCGAUGACGAGGGGUUGCUGACUCUCACUUUCAAAAAGCUCGUGCCCAUUCGUGCCCAUUAUCAGCGCUCUGUGUUCUGGGACGAGGAUGAAAACCUCGUUCACUUCAACUACCGUCUUCCAUCAGGGACGAAGCGAGAGGAUGUGAAGGUUGAGAUUGAUGAAGAUGGCAAAUUGCUUAUAACAAUAAUAAGCAAGGUGGCAGGUGCACAUACUGAUUCCUCCAUGAUCAUAUCCUCUCUCUUCAGUUUCCUGAAUAAAAAGGAAGGAGACACCACCAGCCAGAUAAUCCGGAUGGAAUUCAACUUGCCAGCGGGUCUUAACACGAAUGGCUUCGAGACUGCGAUCGUUGACGAGGGCUCGCUAACUCUCACUUUCAAAAAGCUCGUGGAGUGGAAGAACAAAAAGCGCGUCUUUCACUUCAAGGCCUAUCUGCCAGCGGGGACGAAGAUGGACGACAUGACGGUUGACAUAGAAGGUCGCAAAUCCCUUGUGAUAGGCAUUCAUGAUCGGCUGAAGAAAGAGGAAGGGGACACCAGUACCCGCAUGUGCUUGAAUGGCAAGAACUUUAGGAGCUUCAUUUUGCCAGAUGGUGUGAACCCAAAUGGCUUCGAGACUGCAAUGGAUGAUGCCGGUGUUCUAACUGUUACCUUCACUAAACUCAAGCCGGAGAAGAAAAAGCUGGGGCCAAUAGCGAAGAAGAUGCUGGGAUGUUUGGCUGAUGCUGCUCUUAUGCUGAUAUGUGGGGGGAUAACUGAUGCGAUUUGUCCAGGAGACUGCUAACAGGCUGGUGUCAAGUAGGUAUUUGCUUUAUGUUCACGUAUGUUGUUUCUGUCGUUUAUCUGUCAGUGUUUGAAAGAAAAAUAAAAAAGAACUCUGGACUCCAUAGUCUAGACCAGGUGUUCGUUAAUUUCUGUGUUGUGUGGUGUUGUGACUCCAGAUCGAGUCAAGACCAGGUGUUCGUCAAUUUCCGUCUUUCGUGGUGUUGUAUCUCCUUUGUUUCAGUGAAAUAAAAAAUGAUAAAACGCUGUUGAGCGAAAAAUAAAUGCAUUUUUUUUUUAAUGGUGUUGAAUAUUAAAAAAACAAAACAAGGCCUGGUUUCAUGCAUACGUGCAGCCACAAGAUAAAGGAGAAACUGGAGAUCGGUCAGGUGAGCCAAUCAUGCUACAAAAUCUGCAAUCUGUGUAUAAUAGAAUUAAAAAAAAAAAAAAACUGCUUGCGGUUGGAUUUUUUUUUUUCAAAUGAGUACAUUGGUAAUGGUGUCCGUAGGAAUGGUAAAAUCCGCAUUUAUAUUUUUAUAUUCGGAUCUGCAUCCGUAUCCGCAAAAAAAAUAUACGGAUCCGGAUGCGGAUAAUAUUCGUAACGGAUACGGGUGAAUAUUCUAAAUAUUCGGAUCUGCAAAAUUAAGAUUCAAUAAUUUAAAACGUAAUUUAGAAAUUCAAUAAUUUAAAAAUUAAAGUAAUUAAAUCAAAAACCUAAUUAAUAAUUAAAGCAAAUAUAAAAUUAAACUAAUUUGUAAAGGUCCAGCCAUGAUUUUUCACUAAAUUUAUGCUUUUACAUAUUAAUUUACUAAAACUAUGAAUAUUGAUUGUUGGAAAGUAAUUGGCGUGGGCUUGGCAGUUGGCUCACCUUUUGUAUUUCUAUUUUCGGGCGUUUAUGAGUGGUGGGAAGCAAGGGUUGAUUUCGGCCAUUUGUGAGUGGUGGGGAGUAGCCGAGCAGGGGCUGAUUUUAGUUGCUUGUGGCUGUACCCACUACUACAAAAAUUCAAAAUAAUGACCCAUAAAUUAUUACGGUUUUUAAAAAUAACUGUCAUUAAAAUUUUUUUAUAACCGUUAUUAUGUAAACCAUCAUAAUAUUUAAUACUUACAAUAACGAUUUUAUAAAAAAAUCGUCAUUAAAUAUAAAUUUAAAAUAUAAUAUUAUUUUUAAUGACGGUUCGUUAUAAAAACCGUCAUUAAAAAUAUUAAUACGAUAAUGACGGUUUAUUAUAAAAAUCAUCAUUAAAAAUAUAUAAUUAUAAUGACAGUUUAAUUAAAAAACAAUCAUUAAAUAUAUAAUUAUAAUAUAAUGUUAAGUUUAAUGACGGUUUAUUAUAAAACCGUCAUUAAAAAUACAAUAAUGCUACACAUCCUAAAUUUUUUAUCCCAAAAAGUUAUUCCAAAUGAUGUGUCAUUAAUUGAGUGGUUGAUAAUUCUUUACAAGAUCCAAGUGAAUUAAUUGUAUUAUCUCACCAACCAAUUGGUAAAUGACACAUCAUUUGAAAUAACUUUUUGAGAUAAAAAAUUUAGGAUGUGUAGCAUUAUUGUUAAAAAUACAUACUUACAAUGAUGGUUUUUAAACUUAACUGUCAUUGUAUCUCUACUAAAAUAUAACCUUAGUAUUAAUGACCGUUAUUUUAGGAACCGUGGUUAAAGAGGAAAUUACUAAUCUUCAUUCAUGACCAUUUAUUUUAUAAACGGUCAUGAAUAAUACAAAUAAAAAAACAAAGCCGAUUUCUAGACUUGGCAUUUUAUUUCAUCACUUCAAAAUAUCUCUCCCAAAUACCCAAAUUCCUUCCAUCACACGCUCAUUUCUCUCCAGAAUAGCCAAGAUUGAUUGUUGCCCACUUCGUAACCAUCACAACCUUGGGAUUAUUGUGCCGUCUCAGUAGCCACCGAGUUGAAUCCCAUUGUUAAUGCUCCAAUGCAUCCUCAGUUCACUGCCUAGGUCAGCUCUAUUUGACGUUUUGAUUUAUUUGUAAUCAAAUUGACACAUUAUCAGCUCCUCUAUUGAAAGCCCUCUACUUUCCACAUACAUUACUGGAAAGGAAUUUGAAAUUUCUUAUUUAUGAGCCAAAUCAUUCUCGCUCUCUAUCUCUCUCUAUAUUUUCAUUUUAUUACUUAUAAAUCUCAUUAAUUUGAUUGGGUAGGUUUCAUGGUUUUGUAACCUAGCAUUGGAUGACUCUAAACAUGGCUACUUCUCUCAGAGAUUAUUGGUGUGCUUGAUAUUAGUAUUGAGUUCAAUCAUCUGCAAGGUUUGUUUCAGUUCUAAUAGUUUGUUUUAAAAUUUUUCGUUGCCAUGUAAUUCUAUGGUGUGGAUUUUAUGAAAUUCAUGUUUAAUUCAGCAAACUCUGUUUCCUUUAAGUAUUUAGUUCUAUGACUGGCAAUAAUAGGUAGAAAAACCUUGAAAGGGCCAUAACAUUUUUCUUUUUUGUUGUUUUUUUAACUUUGUUUUGAUGUAAUAAAAGUAUUCCUUCCUCCCAAACUCAAUUGAGAGGAUUUAAUUGUUCUUUUCUUAUAUUGAAGUGUUUAGAAGCUCUGAUUGCCACUGAUUUAUAAAGAAAACAGCAAUUGUAAAAUUAUUCUGCCGUUAUAUGCUGUUAAAAACAGCACAUGGAACUUCCAAGCACUGAUUUUAGCAACUGGACAACAUCCAUAAAAUUUUCUCGGCGUGUCAUGCUGCUAUUUGUUGUAAAAAAACAGCAUUGAAAAGUUUCAGAUGCUAUUUUAACACAAUUACAGCAGCAUGACAACACCCAAAAAAUUUUCUAGGAGCUGUCUUGCUGCUAUUUGCUGUUAAAAACAGCACCUGAGAGUUCCAAAUGCUGUUUUUAUCAGCUGGACAGCACUAAAAAAAUUUUUAGGUGCUGUCAUGCUGCUGUUUAAGGCUAAAAACAACACCCUAAAGUUGCAGGUGCUGUUUUUAACACAAUUUUAGCAGCUACGUAGCACUUAUAAAAAAUUCUAGGUGCUGUAAUGUGCUGUUUGCUGUUAAAAACAGCACCUAAAAUUUUUUUGGGUGCUGUCAUGCUGCUGUUCAAGGCUAAAAACAACACCCAAAAGUUGCAGGUGUUGCUUUUAACCCAAUUUUAGCAGCUAUUUUCUAAGUGUUGUCAUGAUGUUGUUUGCUGUUAAAAACAGCACUUGAAAAUUUCAGUUGCUGUUUUUAUCAGCUAGACGGCACCCAAAAAUUGUUUGGGUGCUGUCGUACUCCUGUUUGAUUAGAAAAACAGCAUCCAAAGUUUUCAGGUGCUGUUUUAACAUAAUUUCAGUAGUUAGACAGCACUCGAAAAAAUUUUUAGGUGCAUUCAAGCUGUUGUUUACUGUAAAAACUGCAAUGAAACUUUCAGUUGUUGGGUUUAUUAGUUAGAUAGCACCUAAACUACUUUAGGAUGCUGUCAUGCUGCUGUUUGAUGUUAAAAGUAGCACCCGAAAGUUGUUAAUGAAAUAGUGACGAUAAUGAUCAUAAUUGAGGAAAAGAAGAACAAGCAUGAACAUUUUGCACCACUGUAUUAUGGAUAUAAUUCCUUCGAAGUAAAAGGCUCUAUAUAUGGAAUAUUAAUAUUGAAUUGGAGUUAGUUAUAUACAACGUCUUACAUGGUAUGCCAUUAUUAUUAAAUUAUGUAAAUCAGUUCCUUUGUCCUUCAUGCCAUGGCUAAAUACAUUUUCAUGCUUGUUGUGGACCUCUUUGGUUAAUGUAGUGAGACCUUGCUUGAUCUUGAGCCAUUUAAUGGGAUGUUGCACUUGAGUGAGAACGGAAAACCUUGUGGGCAGUUUGAUGCAACUAUUAUUUCUCGUAAUGGUGAUACAGUGCUGCUACUACCUUUGCUUCCUCUCUCAGCAGAAGUUUAUAGUCUUAAAAUUUUGCAUUAAGAAAAUGCAUGUUUUUUAGAUUGCAGUGGCAAAAUGUUAAACGGGCUUCACUAUUGUGGGGGGGGGGGGGGGGGGGGGGGGGGGGGGGGGGGGGGGGGGGGGGGGGGGGGGGGGGUGAAUAAAUAAAAAAAUAAAAGAAAAUUUUCAAUUUUACAUUCCAUCAUUACCUCGGAUUCAAGAGUGGAAAGGUUCAAGUUUUGUACAGCUACAGGGAAACCCUCUACAAAUCCAAACCCCUGUGAAAGGAUCCCACUUCAUGACAAUCUUUGUGGGUUUCGAGUUGGAAUACUCUGGCAGGUUAGAAGUUGUUUCAAUUAAUUAUCUAUAACAUACAAGUUGUGUUACAUUAUAUGACCAUAUAAUGAUUCAUUGUGGGAUACUAGGACAUCAAAAAGAGCUCAAAAUUUCAGACAGAUUUUCUCCCUAAAUUUGGUGAAAGACUGAUGGAUGAAUUAGAACUAAGUUUCAUAGCAAUUUGUAGCUGUAAACAUCUAGAAGGCUGGGACUAAAUGCCAUUUGAUUAGGUUAGAAUAAUAUGAACUGAGCUUAUAAUCUUUGUCAUUCAUUCAAUUACUUUUUUAGAUGUCCACAAUUCAUCAUGUUGAUAAUAUCCAAUUGGUGCCUGGUAAAUUUCCUAUGACUAUGAUAUUGGGUGUUAUGGAAGAGAUGAGAACAUCCAUUGUAAAUCAGCUAGAACAGGUUCUGGAUCAAAAAGACAAGUUUAUUCCUGUUUCCUUUCUGUUUCAUCAGUUGAUUAUAGACCAUUAAUUACCUAUGGCCUUUUCUGUUUCGGCUUUGCUUUACAGUAAUAGUGCCCAGAUGUAAUGAUAGGAGAAAUGUGCAAGUCGGUUGUUGAUUCAUCUCGUGUACCUCUAAUAGCCAGAAAAAUGAAGGUAUAUAUCCUUUGAAAUAUUCAGUAUGUUUAGUGUUAUCUAAACUAUGCUUUGUUCAGUCAACCAUUCCUAGAUUGUUUCGAAGCUUCAUGUUGCGUUUAUCCAGUUUGUAGAGCCUGGAACUAAGUUCCAUGUGGACACUUCUUGCGGCAUCUGAGGAUCCCCUUCUGCUAGGUAGUGCAGCAUCAUUUAAGGCGCCUUUGUUAAUGGUGUUGAUUCUUUCUCAUGGACGGCAAAUAACUCAGUGAAGCUUUAUGGUUCCCAAAGUGAUGGUCCUCAUUGUUGGACAUUUUUCAGCGCUGCAGCCUAUGGAAAAUGAAACAAGGUUCGAUGGAUCUGUUUGUGCAUAAAUGUGUGUCUUGUUUAAAAUACUUGUUUUUACAUGAUUUGUUAUAGAAUUGCUGAACUUGACUGUUAACUAAAGCCAAUUAAUCAAGUCGAAUUGAUCAAGAAUAGCCAAUUACGAAGAACACUGAGCUGAGUAGUUAGAGAUCAAUUUAGCCAAGAACAGACGAAUAACGAAGAACAGCACUCAAGGAUUAUGUGGUUCGGUACCAAGAUACCUAUAUCCUCAGCUGAAGAAGCCAACUGGACUUAAAGCUUUUAUUGAACUAAUCAAUUACGAUGAGACAUCAGAGAACAAAGAUUAAAUCUCUCUGUAGGGAAUUUCUAUCUCACUCUAAGCCUCUCAAAAUUUGAUUAAAAGGUUCUGCAUCAGUCAGCCCCGGGCCCUGUUUAUAUAGCUCAAAUUUUCCAGCUGUUGGUUAUAACAAAUUAACCACCAACUGGUCCGGCACUAGCUGACUCAGCUUGCCCCACAAUCAAAGGGUAACAGAAUUAACUAACAGCUUCACAUGAUUAUAUGCUAGCAUUGACACACCUUUUUAUCAAUUGCCUAUACCUGUUGAAUCCAUUCAUAGUUCAGCUUGAAAUCCGGGCUAUUGAAAUGAGGCUGCAAUGAGUUCCGUUUUGGACUAUCCUUGUAGUGUCCUAUUUCCUUUAUGGUUAUAAGCGCUGCAUUUGCAUAUAGAGCUAAUUGAAUGAAAGGAAAUCAGGGGUUGGUCUUAAAAGUGCAUAUUGUUCAAAUACAAAAAGUAAAAUUAUUUGAGACAAUUCAUACGGCUUCCCUUGAGUGAAAAAUAGUCAUAUUACCAUUUAAACUGACAUGAUCUGUUCUUCCAGUUUAUUCAAAGAAUUAUGAGAAGAACCUUAGAUAUGUUAACUAAAAAAUGCCCAAAAUGGACUAUUCAUAUUCAUGCCAUUGAAUCCUAGGUAUGUUAAUUUUAAACUCCAAUUAAAUGCUCUAAUCUUUCUUCACCCUUUUUAGCAUGUGUUCCAUAAUUCAUGCUUUCUUCUUCCCCUUUUAAUUUUUUCCUCUUCUUCUGUUUUAGCUUCCAUAAUAUUGGGAAUUAGUUGUUACUGAUUUCGGAGAAAGGAAUUAGGUGAUUUCUUCUUCCCUUUCAAUAGGACACGUACGCUCGUGCUGAAAUAAAAGGUUCCUAUGGAGGGGGCUAAUCAUUUUUCUAAAAUUAUUGUCACAUCAUCAAAAUGGUUAGUAUAAAUAUGAAACGUUACGUGCACCUUAUUAUUACUUCUAAUUAAGAGUUUGGUGAAAUUUGAGUUGUAUUGUGAAACAGUAAUGUUUAACUUGAUGUUGUGAUGCCAUUUUUAGUUCUUACAGGAAUGAGUUGAUGUCGUUAUCUGUGUGAAUAUUUUUAGCUCUUGCGAUAAUGCUAUUUGAUUUCUGAUAAUUAGUGAUUGGGCUUGGAAAGUGAACAAGGUUUUGCAGUCAGUUCAUAAAUAAAUACAUGUUUACAUUCACACACGUUUUUAAUCAAGUGCUUAGGGCACUAGCAUAGUAGAAUAGAUUCACACUUUAGCUUGAAUUCCCAAGCUAUUGAAGCAGGCUACAAUGAGUUCAGUUUUAUGUGCAUAUUUAUUUAGACUUGGUUGUAAAUAUUAGCUUGAUUUUCUGCCUUAUACUUUGAAUCAAUACAACAUUUCAAUUUUACAGCAGAGAUUAAUGUUGCUAUUUAGCUUCAGAAAUAUCUGACAAGGAAUUUCAAACAUAAGCUCGAAGCUUGAUUAUUCAUAUAUAAAUAAUGUGAUGUCGACUGCAGAUGAUUUAGGAAGCGGUGGAGUUCAUACUGAGGUGUUAACAUGGACAAAAUUUUUGCUUCGUCUGACAUGUUGUUAGCUUUAGCGAUAGUAAUGAACUUGAGGUGGCAGUUUUUGAAGUCUUUUGUUUAUGUAUAAGUCUUAUUGGGUCUCUCUCGAUAUUCUUCCUUCUAAUUUUGAUCAUUGCAUCAUAAUUUUAACAUCUGUGUUCCAUAAUAUAACUCUCUGCAUUACUUCAUUUUUUGGCACCUUUGGAUUCCCUGUAUCUUGAAUCAAAACUUUGUUGCUGCAGGUUCAAUAUUCUGGAUUUCUUUUGUUGAGGGGCUGCCCUUCUGAGAAUCUGUUUUCAGUUAUCACUUACUCCUAAUAGUUUGCAAACCAAAUGUGGUUUUUGCAUGUUCAUAGACUUGCAGUGUAAUUUGUUUAUCAUGUUUCGUUAAUACAAACUUCAAAGACGAAAAACACAAAACAAGUGAAACAACUAUUUAUUCCAAGUGUAUAUUAUCUAUCUUGGACAGCAUUGAAUUUUUAUUUUUCCCCCACCCAAAAUGUUACUAUUGCCACAUUUAUAAUCUUAAAAUCUAUUAGGGAUCUAGAUGUAUACACUUAGUAGUAUGAUCAAAAAGUUUAUCGAGCAAUAACUUGAAAGUAUGUUUCCACUAAUUAUAUUUGGGAAGUGUAUCUUAUAUGUCUUGAAUAGCAUUGAACUUUCCUUUCUAUUUCUUUUAAAAUUAUUACAAUUUACGCGUAUAUUUCAAUCUAAAAUUUGUUGAGAUUCUAGAUACAAAUACUUAAAAGAGUACAAUCUAAAAGUUCAUCGAACUAUUUACUUAAAAUUAUGUUCUCACUAAUAUUUGAGAAGAUAAGUAGAUAUUUAGUGAAAAUAAAUUAAAAAAAAAUCGUUCAUUAGCAUUUGUAUUUACAUAUAUAAGGCUUGUCUUUGAUAGACUUGAGGAAUUAAUCUCAGCAAGAAAAGAAAGAUAUUUGAUAAUUGCAACCAUGGAAGUUUCGUAAGCAGCAAGCGAGUUAUUAGCGAGAUAAUUUAAAUAUCUUACACUUACAGAUGUACAAUUAAUCGAUGUUAUUCAUUCCUGCUUAAUCAAAUUAAGCUUCAAACUAACUAACUUUGGUACCACUCUUGUUUGACGCGCCCGGAAUCUUAUCCCUGGAAGCAACGAAUUAAUUGAAAUGAAUCAAGUCAUUAUCCUGCCAAAUGAUUUCUCUGGUUUCAGGAUCUUCAAUGGUGAACAACAAUUAAUCGAUAAGCAAGCUAAUGCAAAGUUUCCACCAAUAAAGAGCAAGCCGGAAGUCCGUGGAAGGUCUUCAAAAAUUCUUUCAAUAUACAGUAUACAGCAUCAUUGUUACUACUUUUAAUUUGGUUUGAAUAUAAUGUAAAACAACAAAGAGAAUCGUCCAUUGGAGGGAAAAAAUAAAUAAAUAAAUAAAUUACUACUUUUAUCAUGUGCAGAUUUUAAAACACAAAAAAAAAAAUCAUUACAUUUGAAUCCAAUUCUCUAAACUAGAAUCUCGAAUUUAUCUAAGAUAUAUAUAUAAAAAAUAAAGUCAUUGUCAUUUGCAGGCGCUCUUUUUUUUUUUUUUUUUUUUUGUCUGGAUGCAGUUUAAUAGUUAAUUAAAAUGACUCUAAAACUAAAUGAUUUAAUAGUGAAUUGAAAGUUUACUCCAUUAAAUUAUAUAGUUUAAUAGCAAAAAAAAUGAAGGUGCCGAUAUAUGUAUGUGUAUGUAUUAGUUGUCUGAUAUUAUAUAAUUACCCUCCUUACUGAUGGACAAAGUCAAAAUUAUAUUUCAUCCACUCUCUUCUAAUAAAAAAUGGUAAAUGACUCAGGUAAUUGUUUUGAAAAACCAAAUUAAGGCAGCUAAUAAUCGUUCGAAAAUAAAUUGGUAGGUUUAAUUUCAUCCAACUUCAUUAAUUGAUGCAAAAGAAUACAACAAAGAGCAACCUUGACAAAGUGAGUUGAACAUGACAUGCGUUUUUUCUUUACACCAAUAUUUUCAAGCCUAAUAGUGGACUGGACAUAAAAAUAAAGUAAGCCCUGUUAAUUUUUCUAAAUCAAUGUGAAAAAACAAAUUUCAUUUGCUAAAGCUAAAAGCCCGACCCAGUUUAUAUUAUGGGAUUUCGACUUCCGGAUCCUUUCUAGGCUUUGGGAGCACAUUCCCCCCCACAAAUUCGAUUUCUAGGACAAGUGACUAAAAAGCUCUGUUUACAUUCUUCUCCUUAAUUUUCUUUCUUUCUUUCUUUCUUUUUUUUUUUAAAUAAUGAAUGAAGUGGAGCUUUCUGGGUCGUCAGAAUCGAGAAUUAUUUGUCUCCAAUUUUUUUUCCCCUUUUUUGAAGUCAGUUGAUUCGGCUGCAAUCUUCUUCGCUAUGAUUCUAAUAUGGUCUUCUCUUCAUUUCUCUUUCUCUUUCUCUUUGAAUAAGAGACGAAUUAUUAACAUGACACGCGUCCCGUCAACUGAUGACGUGUUGUUUGACGAUUGGCAGUUUUUGAAAGAAAGAGAAAUAGUGAGUGAACGGGCAGUUUUGUCUGACAUAUUAAUAGCUUUAGCAAUACUAUGAACUUGAGGUGGCAGUUUUUGAAAUAUUUUACGGCAAAUGCUAAGUUACAAACAAUGUAACUUACACAACUCAUGUGAACCACACAAAAUUGUGAGACCUAUAAUUUGUGUGGUUCAUAUGAAUUGUGUAAGUUACAUUUAGGCUCUCAUAUUUUAUAUUUAUAAGUUGUAUCGAGUCUCUCUCGACAUUCUUUCUUCUAAUUUUGAUCAUUGCAUCAUAACCCUGACAUUGGUGUUCAUAAUAUAACUUUGUGCAUUACUUCAUUUUUUGGCACCUUUGGAUUCCUUGUAUCUUGAAUCAAAACUUAAUUGCAGGUUCAACUCUUGACUUCUUUUAAUAGUUUGCAAACCAAAUCGUAGUUUUGGAAUCAAACUUAAUUGCAGGUUCUAUUCUUGACUUGUUCUAUUGAGAGGGCAAUCACUUACAACUUCUCAUAGUUUGGUAAACAAAUGUGGUUUUGGAAGUUCACAACCUUGCUGUGUAACCUGUUUAGUAUGUUUGGAUGAUACAAAUUUCAAUGACAAAAAACAAAAGUAAAAUUUGUUACAAUUUAUACAUACAAUUACAAUCUAAAAUUUAUUGAGACUCUAGAUGCAUUUCUUUAGUAACACAACUUAGAAUUCUGACGAAUCUGCUAAGCAGUAGCUCGGAAAAUUAAUCUGGAGAUAUCUACCCUUAAUUAUUUAGUUAGAAUGAAUUAAAAAAAUCAAAUAGAUCAUAUGAAAGCUAAUCCUCAACACAAGUUUAUGGGCCAAGUCAAGAACAAUAUAUCAGUAAAAGAGUGCAGGCAGCAUCAAGUAUAAAACAUACGAUAAGAGGCAGACUGUAACAAUCAAAGUGUUGGGGAAAAAUCAGGUUUUUAAAAUUUUAUAAAACCUUUUAAGGACCGCUCUCAUAUAAUAUAUAGGAAUACGUAAUCCAAAAAUCGUACCUUGAAAAUCCGAGUUGGCUUUUUCCGCUGAAGUGAUUUAGGCUCCCAGAUCACGAUCCGUCACCACCACGCUUGUUAGAUCACGAACUGUCACCAAUAAUCUUCCAGGUUAUGACUCAGGUUUGAUCUGCACUUGACGUGUGGGCGCCGUUAUCACUACCAAAGCAACUAGCACGAGAAAAUUUUUCUCUCAACAAUGGAGAGAAAAAUCUUUUUCUCUGAUCUGUAUAAAGUGGCUUCCCCCAUUUCUUUAGGGAAAAAUAAGCCUUUUAUAUCACCCUUUAGUGAAAACCCUAGGCUCCAAGAAUGCUCAAAAUAAAACUCACGUUGUUUUCUUUUUCAAUAAGGGACCCACCUUGUAAAAUAACAUAAGGCCCCUUACACAUAAGCUUAUUAAAUGGAGCCUCCCACUAAAUGAUAUAUUUAGGCUUUUGACCCAAAUAGCUAGUUAUCUUGCUUAUCAGUCCAGUAGUGGUGCAGUCAAUUAAAUGAGCUAACCCGGGGAUCAUUUGGGAACAUACAAUAGUGGCUACAAUAAUUAGGCAUGUAAUUAAACUAGCCCAAUUAUUUAAUUCCAAAUCUACUCCACUAAAAGAUUGGAACUGACUUUCAUAAUUGUAUGCUCGAAUAAUAAUUCGUCCCAGGCCACAUUGAUUUCUUUACUGCACAAUCCUUUGUACCACAUCGUUAAUUAAAUUGAUAUCUCAACUGUCCAAUCAAUUUAAUAACAUCUUAUUCCUUUAUCCUUACUGGUUUUCUCUAAUGAUCAUUUUCAACAUACUAAAUAUGUUGACACACUCUGGCCAGAGAAUUCUAUGAUCAAGUGCCGAAAACCUAUCAAGAGAUGUGUUGUACAAAUUCUAUAUUGUUAAUCCAUAACUCCAAUACUCAUAAUUGCUCCCACCAAGAUACCGGGUAAUCUUGACCACAAGGAUGUGUCGUGCCCAUUGGUAACUCAAAUGGAAUAACAAUUACAAUCAUGAAAUCAUAAUUAACUCAAGAUUAAGAUUACAGUAAAAUCAACGCCUAUGAGAUUUAAUAAGUUUGACAGUUAUUACAAAGUUAAUUAAAUCUCAUAUGUGAUCCUGUUCAAUGUAGUCGUACUACAUCAAUAAAUUCAUACAUGAUUAAGACAAAUCAUUCAAUGAAUUUAUUACAGUCUAUACCUAAAUAAAGUGCCCAACUUUAUUUAUCAACUGCGAACUAAAUUUAUUUAAUCAUAAGAUAACUUGUAUUUAUGUCUUCUGUGAAUCCACAUAGUGAUCACAUAAAUACAUAUAAUAUGAUUAAAUGGACUUUAAUACAAAUAUUAAUGCAAUUAAGAUAUUUGAAUAAAAUACCUCAUUUAUUUUAUUAAUCAGAAAAAUUAUUUAUUACAAUUAAAUAAACACAUAUGCUUUUAAAGAGCAUAUUUUCCCAACACAAAGCUACCAGCAAAAGAUCACCACUUUCAUUUACUAUGCAUCUUAAUCUUCUCUGAUUCUUCAACCCCCUUAAACCCUCAAAACCCUCAAGACUGUCAAAGGCAAAGACAGUAACUUCAACCAUUAUUAUAGCAACUUCAUCUCAACCGAAAAUCGACAGCACAAAUGCUCAAAAACCCACUUGCGGAAACUGCCGAAAAAGAUCAUCAUAUGGCAGUCCAAGAAGGUCAGCUCUCAAGAAAACAUUCACGCAAAAGCAAUUCACCUUCACUGCACCGUCUCAAGUAACCCGCAUGUGGGGAUUAUUGGCGGAGGCAUGGCGGUUCUGGCUUGUGCUUUGAGGUUGGAUAAGAGAGGUGUCAAGCCCACUGUUUUUGACUUGGUUGCCUUUUCUUUUGUACUUUUGUGUUUUUUAUGUGGGUUAUGUUUGUAUUUGAUGAGAGUAUAUGCUUGUUUAAUGGUAAUUGAAAAAAUUUGAUUUAAAACAUUCUAGCAUGUGUUGUUUUACAUUGAAUACUGUUUUCGUGAAAAGGGUUUUGUAUAUUGUUCAUUGCAUGUAGCUAUUGUGAUAGACAGUGUGUAUGCACCUUUGGCAAGCUCAACUCUUUUUGGGAUGCAUUAUUGAUUUGAUUAUAAGCAUGUUUAGAAUUGGGUUGUAGUGAUUUUUAAGCCGUAGUUGUUGAGGAAUGAAAUUAAAACAUUAGCUGCUAAAUAAAGUGGGGGUUUAUCAAAUAUUUUGGUCAACCACAUCCAUGUAAUUAUUUUUUAUUCUUUCUUUUUAACAAUGUGCUUUGCUGUAUCAGGAGAAUCCUGGUCCAGAAGGAAGAAUGGGAGAACCAGAAUGAUUGGUCCUCAACCACUGAUAUUUGAUCAUGCUGCUCAAAUCUUUACCGUGAAUGAUUCUCAGUUUGGUGAGUUGGUUGAUGGUUAGUCGCAGAAAGGUCUGGUACGACCAUGGGAAGGUGUGAUUGGAGAGUUGAUGUAGGUAGAUGUAACAAAAUGAAUAAACGAAUCGAGUUCGAAUCGAAUCGUAAACGAAUUAGGUCAGAACUGUGCAGAUUCAGAUUCGUUUUUUUAUUAAACAAAUUAAAAUCUUAGGAUUUCGAUUUAAUUUAUUUAUUAAACGAAUAUUGGUUCGAUUCGUUUAAUUUAUUUAGUAGAAUUAAUAAACGAAUUGAAUUGAAUUUAGAUUCGUUUACUAUUCAUUUAUCCUAUAACAAAUUAAUAAUGAAUCGAACUGAAUAUGAAUUCGUUUACAAAAAUAUAAUUAAUAAACAAAAAUUAAGCAACACAAAUUAUAAAAAAAGACUACAAAUUUAACAUCCUACAAAAUGCAAACUUAUUAUUAUUUAUUAUUACUAUAAUACCUUCAAAUUUUAAAAUUUUUUCAUGUGAAUAUUGAAAGAUAAAUAAGUAAUUUAAACGGAUAAUAAACGAAUGGAUCGUAUUCAAUUCAUUUAUGUUCCAUUUAUUAAAAAAAAUACUAAACGAAUCAAUGAAUAAAUAUCCUCAAGCCUAAAUUCUAUUCUCUAAUUAGUGAAUCGAAUCAAAUUCACCCAUUUAUAACGAAUCAUUUAUUUUUCAAAGGCAAACUCAUUUAAUUAGCAUCGAAUUGAAUGGAAAAUUCAUUCCAUUGUCUUCUUUACCUCCAAAAUAAAUUGGUGUUAAUGGAAUGCACUCUCUUGCUGACUCUUUAUUGGCCUUGGUAACAAAUCUCUGUUUUGCUUUUGUGUUCCUUUCUUGUCGAUUCUACCAUGCUUCUUUGCAUCAAAAGGGGAAAAUUGUCUAAUUAAAUCACAAUGGUAAGAAACUGAAGUAUUGUUUUGAAGUUUGCUGGAAGGUAGUGUUGCUGCUUGGGUAUUCCAAGUCCCAAAAUCUUUAUAUUUUUCAGGUUUGACAGGAGAAGGAAGAUAAGAGUGUAUGAAACUAAAAGCUACAAUUAUAUGGUCACAUGAUUUCAAUUGCUUUGGCUGCAUUGCUAGACUUAAUGAAGCAGUGCUGAUAAUGAUCAUAACUGAGGAAAAGAAUAACCAGCAUGAACAUUUUGCACUGACACGGUUAGAUUUUGCUUAAAUUUGUUUAGGCUUCUAAUUUCAGGAUUGUUCAAUCAAGUCUUUGUAGGUUAGUUAAGUGUAUGUUUAAUAAGGAUAAAAUUAACAAUGUUUCACUCAUUGUGUCGAUUAAUGCACUCAUUAUUCUUAAAUUAUCUUAACACUCCCAAAAUAUAUUUUUUUGUUAAAUUAAUUUGUAUUAUGUUAAUUUUAUAUUGUAGAUAUAUUUCAAUAAUAAUAAUGAGUAGUUGGAACUGGAAGCGCGAACAAAGAAGAAUUACUGUAGCCAUUUGAAAGCAUUAUCGAGGAAAUGAAAUAAAAAAAAAAGUGGGCAAUUAUGUUUGUAAUGGUCAGGAGGCCAUUAUGCCGCAUGACCAUCACCAUGUUUUACUUGUUUGUUUGUGUGAUAAUAAUAAAAAAUAAUAAUAAAACAAGAAGUUGAAGCUGAAGAUCGCCUAUAAAUAGGAUAAGCUUUUGCGGAGGGGGGACGGAGAGCCGAGAGAGAAUGAAGUGAAGCUGAGGAAUUUCUUUCUUUUUUUUUUUUCUUGUUUUCUUCUGUAUCAAUUUUCUUGUAAUAUAUUCCAGAAGUUUGUCAAAUAAUCAAAAGAGUAUUCUAUUUUCUUUCAACAUGAGUAGUUAAUUUUACUAAGCUGAGGUAAAACGUGAAACUCAAAGUUUUAAAUUAUUAAAUUAAUUACUUUCUCAAGUGAGUUUUAAUUUUAUUUUAUUCUUUUCUGGUUAUUUUUAUGUCAUGUUAAUUUAUAGAUUUCCUUGAAUUUGUAUGAUAUUUUAAUAUAAUGUCGACACAUUAAUAUAGUUGUGGCACAUUAGGUACUUGAUUCCAUAUUUAUCCACACACAUAGUUAGUUAAGAAUUAAAUGACAUAAUAAGUAACUGGUAAUAGUGAGGUAAAAUAUAAAAAUAAAAGAAUAUUAAAACCAUAGUUUGAAUACUGAGAGUGGAUCAUGUAGCCUUAGCAUAUUUUUAUAUUGAUUCCUAUUAAUUUUUUUUCCGCAUUUUAUUUUUUUUGUUUAACAAAUUGAGUACUAGAUUUUAAAUUCCAUGUGGUUCGAUCCCGGACUUACCGAAUUAUAUUAUAACUAGAUACUCUUAUACUUGGGAGUAAUAACACUUUUGAGUUGUGUCACUUUAUAUUUUGUUCUUUUAUCUUUUUGCUUCCGACCACAAGACAAGAAUAUGAUGGUCUCAAGAGUUUUUUAAUUCAACUAAAUUUCAAUGCAUGUUGACCAUGAACUAUGUGUGUGUGUAUAUAAUGUAAUCAAUUCAAAUAAAAUAUUUUCUUUCUUAAUAUUAGUUUACUAGAUUCAGCUGUCUUAAGUUUAGUAGUUAUUGUGGAUUUCGACCUCGUUACUACUAGUCUAUAUUCCAGUAAACUUGUGUGCUUGUGAGUAUAUCACAAUUUGCUCAACAUUUGACAUAGUAAAAGCCCAUUUGGGAUUAGUUUUUGAGAUAUUUAAAAGUGAUUUUAAAAAGUUAAAAACUAAUUUUAGUGUUUGGUAUUUUUUUAAAAAAAAAAAAAUCAUAUUUGGCAAAAUCACCCCAUUCUAUAGCACAUUUUGAUAAUAAGUUUUAUAUUUAAUACAGUUUCACAUUUAUCCUCACAACUAUUAUAAAAAUUCAAAAUUAUCCUUAUUUAAUUAGGAAAUUAAGUCAUUAAAUUUAAACAUAUUAUUAUUAUGACUACUACUAAUACUCUUACCACCAAUUAUAUUGAGAUAACAAAAUUAAUAAAAUAAAAUAAAUAUUUUUUUGAGUUAUCAAUUAUUUUAUGUACACCAUAAAAAAAUAUUAUAUCUACAUGUAAAUAAAUUUUAUUUAACAUUUUAUAUAUUUCAGUUAUUUGUAUUCUUAUAACAAUUUAACUGUAAAAAUUACUAAGUACAUAUGACUAUUUUUAAAACUCAUAACACUUUUAAAAAUAAAUUUUACUAAACAUCUUAUAUGCUAACAUCAUGUUCCAUGUAUGUUGUUCUAUCGUUUGUAUGUUAGGUUGCAUUUGCUUUUUAUCUAAAAUUUGAAUAGGUCUAAAUGAAAAUGUUUGAAUGACUUUUUUCUUUUUUCUUUUUCAACAUCCGAAGAGAAAAAAAUAAAAGUUAGUAGUUUGACAUAGAUAUCCUUUUAAGUGGUGCAUAGAUUUGUUCUUCACAAUUUAUAAUUUUCACAGGUUGAUUUGUUUGGCAGCAUUAAAAAAAAGUACUAUCAUUAUUGAUUUUAAUUUAAUUUUGUAAUAAAAGAUGUAAUUAUAAUAUUAACUUUUAUUAUAAAGUUAACAUUGUUGUUUUAUUUUUUAUUCAUCACAAUAGACAUAAUUUGAUUUGUUCAAUAUUUCAAUUUAGUUAAUGUUAUCAUGUGAAUAAAAAUUUAAAGCAAUUAAAAAAAUAACUUCAAGAAUAAUACAAAAAUAUUAGGUUUAUACAUAAUAUUGAAAAUACAUGAAUUGUUAAGGGUAUUUUUGAGAAUUGAAAUUAAAAUUUUCUAUUUAGACUUCAAACUUUAGAUAAAAGUGGACUUUUUUUACUUUUCCUAUUCAGAUAAAAUUGUACAAUGAGUGAUAAGUUAAAAAACCAAACAACAUAAAAUAAAUAAAUGUCUGGAAAAAAGUUAAAUUCAGACUUCAAACUAAAAAACAAACAGCACCUUAGUGUGUAAAAACAUAAAGGCUUUAAAUAUAUAAUAUUCCUAUUAAAGUAUUUAAUACGCUAUAUUAACUUAUCCACUGGUGUAGAAUUUGGAAAAAAAAAAGUUUGUUCUCCUAUUCAAUUUUAAGUACUGACAAUUAAAGAAACAGAUAAACAAUUUUUUUUUUCAGUCAAUAAUCUAUACCAUUAAAAAAAAUUAGACUAGGAAUGUAAAUAAAUGAAUAAAUAAACGCAUAAUUGAUUUUUUUUAUAAAAAAAAAAAUUAGCCAACAUACCAUGAUUAAGUGAGGUACCAUGAAUCUUAAAAAUAAAUUUAUUGUUUUGAUGAGAUUUUGUCUCUUUUUCUUGCAUCCAAAAUCCACUAAAAAAUAUGCUUUCAAAAUUAUGUAGAAGCAUAGUGGUUGUUAGAAAUGUACCCCAAGUACGUGCAUAUCCUGCCACCAAAAUAGGACUCAACUCGAGUUAUCCAAACUUAGUGAAACUUAAACUUUGUGUUUCAAUGAGCUAGUCAACCACAUCCAUGUAAUUAUCAUUACCAUUAUUGUUGUUAUUGUUAUUUUCCUUUUAAAACGGUGCCUUUACUAUAUAUCAGGGGAAUCAUGCAUGGGAACCAGGAUGAUAGGUACUGAUUCAAAGUCCCAAAAUGAUCACAGUUUUGAGGUUUGACCCCCACAUGCACAAGGAAGAUAAGAAGCUAAAAUUAAUUACAUGGGCUGCAAGGGUGGACUUAGAAUGAAAUGGCAUGACGGCCGAGGAAAAGAAGAACUAGCGGGAACAUUUUAUUUUGCACCACUGUGUCAUGACUGCAAUUCCUGCACAGUAACAAGCUUAUUAAUAGUUAUAUAUGCCACACUAAUAAUUAGCGUAUUUAUACAAACAUCUUAAUUAUCAAGGCACAAAUGAACUUAAAUUAAUAAAUUCAAAGAUGGCAAUUCAGAAGCGAUAAUAUAUCCCGGCGGCAACUAAUAUAUAUAAUAGAAAUUAAAGUCCAUGGUUAGCAUUAACAUUGUGACACGGGGUACUACGGAUACAGGCUUACCCUUGGUUUGAUUUGGUAGAGUUAUGCAAAUGGCUGAAGCGUUGGCUGGUGCUUGCAAAAGAUAGAGAUCCAGCUCGCAUGCUCAUUUCAACACUUGGCACUUGGCAGGUGCAGUGAGUUCUGCAGCAGGAUCUAUAAAUUAAAUAAUAUAGUUUUAUUUAUUUUUAAAAUAAUUAAAACUCUUUUAUUUGCCCACCACUUAAGUUUUUCUCCAAUCACAGGAUAGGGUCCUUUCCCGCCUUUUCCCGGUAAAUCCUUUAGGGUUGUAGACGUGGCAGAUAGCAAGAGGAGGAAGAGGUGCCGUGUUUGACUUUUAGAAGGAAUUAAUAAUAAUCUUGGGGAGUCUCUACGUUGCAUUUAAUGUAACAUAGUAAAAUCCUAAUCUUAGAGUAAGCUGACGUAAAUUGUAGGGCCUAGGUAACAACAUCAAUUUUUCAGACGAGGAAAAUUCUGGAUAUGUGCGCUCACACUUUAUUAAUUUAGUUUUUCCAGCUGCUAAAUUUCUCCAUGUUACAUUACAUUACACGCAAUUUUGAAGUUUAAAUUUGUCUCUUUUUUUAAAAAAGAAAAAAAGAAAAAAAAUAUUUUUUAUCGUUUCUGUUUCCCCAAUAAUUGUCUUAAAAUAAAUAUUGUACUUCCGCGUAGUACGCAGCAAAAGGACAUUAUGAACGGCAUUUAAUCUCGCCCCCACUUGUUCACGAACAAUUUUGAAGUUUCAAAGGAAAUUAAAGAAAGCUUUAGUUUCCUCCCUUGACAUUGACGUUCUAACUGUCUUACCUCACCGAACACAAAUGUAUGGGGACUCUGACUCAAAUCACAAUUGACGCCUGCCCAAUAGUUUAUGUAAGUGUCCUUAAUUUUUUUUUUUAGAAAUUAUUAUUACACUACUUUUCUUUUACCUCAUAUUAAUUCAACCAUUAUAAAAUUUCAAUAUAUUUUUUACAUUAUUUUUUAAAAUUUAUAUCAUUAGACACUUUUACACUAAUACCAUUGAAUAAUUAAAAUAAAAUGAUAAUUUUAUCUCUAAAUAAAUUAAAAGAUCAUUUUAUCUUGUAAAAGCUUUGAAAUUAAAAAAAUUAUAAUUAUAAAAAUAUCCCUACAUUUAAUAAAGAUAAAAAUUAUUUUAAUAAAAAAUUAUAAUUAUAAAAAUAAUUCAAAAUUUUGGGAUUUAAUAACAAUCCCCUAAAUUAUUAAAAAUUUGGGAUUUAUUUUUUAAUAAAUAAAUUUAGUUAUUUUAAUAAAAUUUUUGCAAAAUUAUAAAUUUUUAAUAAAAAUAAAUAUUAAAAUUUUACAAAAUCUAAAUUUAAUAAAAAUCAGCUGAGCACCUCUAUUUUGGAUUUAUUUUUUUAAAUUUAGGGGUAUUUUUAUAAUUAUAAAUUUUUUUUAUUUUUCAAAGCUUUUAUAAGAUAAAAUAUUUUUUAAUUUAUUUAGGGAUAAAAUUAUCAUUUCACUUAAAUUAUUUAACGGUGUUAGUAUAAAAGUGACUAAUUGAUAUAAAAUUUUAAAAAAAUGGUGCAGAGAGUAUGUUAGAAUUUUUUGGUAGGUGGAUGAACAUAAGAUAAAAGAAAAGUGGUGCAAUGAUAAUUUUUUUUUUAUAAGAAAUGUCCUUAAAAUUGAAAACAGGACAAAAAAUAUUUUGUUUUUCAUUCAACACUACUAGAAAAAGAAAAAAAACACAACAUUUAGUCUGGAAUGUAAAUAAAUGAAUAAAUAAAUGUAUUACUAAAUUUGAGAAAAUGAAGCUGAUGGAGAGCACUAAGGAGCUCUUAGAUAUAUAUAUAUAAAAUGGGUCGGCCUAAGUUACGUUCAAUGGAACUUACGGCUUGACUGUAAAAUUUUGUUCAGCCCCCUAUACUCUAUGUUAUUUAUAAUUUAUUCAUGAAUAUUAUAAAUUUUUUGGAUUGUAAAAUUUUGUCUAACCCCUUACACUCAAUUUUAUUUUAUUGAAACACUAAAGUACGAAUUUGCCCUCCUAUAAUUUUAAAUUCCCAAAAUAACCUCCAUUUAAUUAAAAUAUAUAAUUAUAAUUAUAAUUAUUAUUUUAUUAUAAUCAUAAAUAUAAUUAUAUUUUUUAAAUAGAUGAUUAUAUUUUUUAACAAUAUAAAGAGAAGAUUGAUGGAGAACUUUAAACAAUUUGACGUAUUCACAUUGUUUAUGUGUAUAUGCGAGUUAAACAUUUAUUUAUUUAUUUAUUACAUUCUUUUUGUGAAUUAUAAAUCAUAAGGAAACGACUUUGAGGGAACAAUUAGUAUCACAAGUUCCUACUAUUUCUUUUAUGUAAUAGAAUUUAUGGAGCCAAUUAACGGUUGCAAAAAAAGCCCCAUGAUGCUAAGAGUUUCAGUGGGUGUAUUUAUAGUAACUCCCCCAAUGACUUGCUUUUUAAUUGAUAUGCAACAGUACCAGCAUUUUUGUGAAUGAAGCUCACACCAAUUUCCAUUGCCACUUUUGGUGUUGUCUAAACAUUUUGGCAUGACACCAUUAAUAGAACAUCCAAGCAAAAAAAGUACGAAAAAUUUUGUGAUCAAGAGAAAAUUAAUUGCAAUUAAUAGAAGUCAUUGGAGAAAGUGGUGCACUAUUGGAGAACUUUAAACAAAUUAAUCACAUAAUGUGAAUAUGUCAAAUCAUCAAUUUUUAAAUAGAUGAUUAUAUUUUUUAAAAAAUAUAAUCAUCUAUUUAAAAAAUAUAAUUAUAUUUAUGAUUAUAAUAAAAUACUAAUUAUGAUUAUAAUUCAUUUAAUAAUAAUUAUAUUUUUUAAUUAAAUAGAGGUUAUUUUAAAAAUUUAAAAUUAUAGGGGGCGAAUUCGGAUUAUAGGGUUUCAAUAAAAUAAAAUUGAGUGUAAAGAGUUAAACAAAAUUUUACAAUCUAAAAAUUUUAUAAUAUUUAUAAAUAAAUUAUAAAUAAUAUAAAAUAUAGGGGGCUGGAUAAAAUUUUAAAGUCAAACCGUAAGUUAUAUUCACGUAACUUAGGGACCCAUAUAAAAUAAAAGAGCGACUAACGAGUGAAGAAAGAAUGACGGCACGAAAACAUGAAAAAUCUGUCUUUUUCAGUGAAUAGUAUUUUGGAAAAAAUUCCUUUCUAGGACGGAGUUGGCUUCUGGAAUAAGGCACGUCGAAUAAUCAUGUCUCUUUUCAGGACCUGUGUAUGGUACUAACAAACAUCUCCCGUCAUUCCACCAUCCCAUUUCUAUUGUUUAGUUUCUCACUCCACAUCCAACGGCUGAUGCUGCAGUCUGUAGCUUACAGAUUCUGUAAGCUAGUCAAGUCCCUCUUUUCAUACGCAGACAAUGUCUCUUACAAUUGACAGUCACACAAAAUGGCAGCUUCCCUCGCUUGACGUGUCACCCCAUUUGGAUCAUAAUUGAGACCUACUUGCGAUGUGAUCGGUCUCCGAGUCCAACAAUGUGAUAAAUUUGUAGAUUUGCAAGACUGGAACUAUAAUGGGAAGUAACUUAGCGUUUGCCUUAUGCGAAAUUAAAUAUCGUAGGACCGUAGGACCCAUCCCACGUACAUAAUUUUGAAACUACGCACCGUUGGGUCCCCUGCGCUGUUGUCUGAGCAUUACAUCAUUAAUUACUAUUAUAUAAGACUCUCCCAUGAGUGUCAUAUGCUGCAUAUACCUAAAAAAAAAAUGUGCCUCGGAAAUAAACAAUAUCAGUGCUCUGUUUUCUGGGAUGAGGAUGAAAACCUCGUUCACUUCAAGUGCCCUCUUCCACCAAGGACGAAGCGAGAGGAUGUGAAGGUUGAGAUUGAUGAAGAUGGGAAAUUGCUUAUAGAAAUAAGCAAGUGGGUAAGUUCACAUAGUGAUCCUCUCUCUUCAGCUUCUUCCUGGAUGAUCAUAUCCGGCUCCUCUUUCUUAAGCUUCCUGACGAAAAAUGAAGGAGACACCACCAGCCCAAUACCCCCGAUGGAAUUCAACUUGCCAACGGGUCUUAACACGAAUGCCUUCGAGACUGCGAUCGAUGACGAGGGGUUGCUAACUCUCACUUUCAAAAAGCUCCUGCCCAUUCAUGCCGAAACGCCCUCCGACCUCGAAAAGGCCUCCGUGGAGUGGAGGAACAAAAAGCGCGUCUCUCACUUCAAGGCCCUUCUACCAGUGGGGACGAAGAUGGAUGACAUGAUGGUUGGCAUAGAAGGUCGCAAAUCCCUUGUGAUAGGCAUCCGUGAUAUGCCGAAGAAAGAGGGAGGGCACACCAGUACUCUCAUGUGCUCCAAUGGCAUGAACUUCAGGAGCUUCAUUUUGCCAGAUGGUGUGAACCCGAAUGGCUUCAAGACUGCAAUGGACGAUGCCGGUGUUCUAACCGUUACCUUCACUAAACUCAAGCCAGAGAAGAAAAAGCUGCGGCCAAUAGCAAAGAAGACGCUGGGAUGUUUGGCUCAUGCUGCUUGUUUGCUGAUAUGUGAGAAGAUAAGUGAUGCGAUUUGUUAAGGGGGUUACUAAUAAGUUGGUGUCAAAUAGGUAUUUGCUUUAUGUUCAUGUAUGUUGUUUCUGUCGUUUAUCUGUUAGUGUUUGGGGAAAAGAAAAUAAAAUAAAAUCUCUGGACUCUAGAGCCUCGACCAGGUGUUCGUUAAUUUCUGUGUUGUGUGGUGUUGUAUCUCCUUUGUUUCAGUGAAAUAGAAGAGCUUUGUCAAAUAAAAAAUGAUAAAUGUUGUUGGGUAAAAA
rnacentral:lncRNA from 1 species